AUCAAUCAAAUUGAAGGGAGUGGUGUGGUUAAAUUACAAAAUGAGCAAAAUGAAGCUAAAGGUUCAUGUGAAGCGCCCGCAGCCAUGGGUAAGAGUGCAGUUGGAUUGAAUGCACUAAGUGUGGAGGGAACAAGGGACGUGACUGAGACAUUGGAUCCGGAAGCGAAUAUAAAGGUAGGGUGGCAGAAAGUUGAAGAGAGUUGGGUGGCACGAAGUAAAACUGAACAUCCAUCACGUACAGUUGGACUGGAUGCAAUGAACAUGCAGGUGGGAGCAAGGAGUAUGGAGGAGACCUCUGUAAGUGAUGUAGAGCCGGGGCUCAAGCGAAUUCAGCGCAAAGAAGUAUCCAAACUUGAUGCGCCAUUUAGGGUAUUGGGGAAGGAUGUUCUUAAGGAUGAGGAAAAUGAGGAACUUGAUGAGCAAGUGGAAGAUCAUCAUGACAGGAAGAAGAAAGGAGAUGAGUCUGUGACCGGUGCAAGUGGAGAUGGGAUGGCGAUUUGUAAAGCUGAUGGGUGUGCAGCCGAUCUGAGUGAUGCAAAGGCGUAUAAUAGAAGGCAUAGGGUGUGUGAACUUCAUUCGAAGGCUCCACUUGUGAUUGUGUCUGGUCUAAAGAGAAGGUUUUGCCAUAAUUGCAGCAGGUUUGGCCUCUCAACCUAGUUUUAUAAUUAUCGCACUGCUAAUUUGUUUGCUUCUAUGAUUUCAAUCUGACUCCACUCAAAGUUGUUUGGGAGCAUAUGCUCCUAUCAACUUUACCCGGGACACACAAAAGAAGUACUUUGAUCCUAUUAGACGGGGGAGGGUGAAGAAGCUAGGACAGAAGGGUAGAGUUCAAGAGAGCAAAAUGCGUUUAGGAACGUGGAAUAUAGGAACCUUAACGGGAAAAUCUAUGGAAGUAGUGGAAGUUAUGGUGAGGAGAAGGAUAAAUAUUAUGUGCCUACAAGAAACUAAGUGGGUCGGUAGUAAGGCAAAGGAUCUAGAAAACUCAGGGUUUAAACUUUGGUAUUCGGGCACACAUAGAACGAGAAACGGUGUUGGCAUCAUCGUGGACAAGACCUUGGUACAAGAUGUUGUAGAUGUCAAGAGGGUAGGAGAUAGAAUCAUGGCAAUCAAGAUUGUAAUAGGACAAGAACUUAUCAAUGUGAUUAGUGCGUACGCACCUCAAGUAGGGUUGGAUACGAGGUCGAAGGAGAAAUUUUGGGAAGAUCUUGGAGACUUGGUGCAAGGAAUUGCUCAGACGGAGAAGUUAUUUAUAGGAGGAGAUUUAAAUGGACACGUGGGCAGGGAGACAGGCAACUAUGGAGGUUUUCAUGGUGGCCAUGGUUUUGGGGAGAGAAACGAGAAUGGGGAAGCUAUCUUGGAUUUUGCAAUGGCAUUUGAUCUCUUCUUAGCCAACACCUUCUUUAAGAAGAGAGAAGAACAUGUGAUCACCUACAAGAGUGGGUCGUCAAAAACACAAAUAGAUUUUCUUCUAAUGAGGAAAGGGGAUCGUAUAACUUGUAAGGAUUGCAAAGUUAUACCAGGAGAGAGCGUGGCUAAUCAACAUCGCUUGUUGGUGAUGGAUGUACAUAUCAAAAGAGUGAGACAAAAGAACAAGACUUGGAAGUGCCCAAGGACUAGAUGGUGGAAUCUAAAAGAAGAAAAACAAGCCAUUUUCAAAGAGAAAGUAAUCACCAAGUGUGUGUGGGAUAGAGAGGGGGAAGCUAGCCAAAUGUGGGAUUCCAUGGCUAGUUGUAUCCGAAAAGUAGCAAAAGAGGUAUUAGGAGAGUCCAAGGGCUUUGCCCCACACCAAAAGGAAUCUUGGUGGUGGAAUGAGGAGGUACAAACAAAGGUGAAGGCUAAGAAGGAAUGUUGUAAAGCCUUAUAUACAAGGAUAGGACUGAUGAAAAUGGUGAAAGGUAUAGAAAAGCGAAGCAAGAGGCGAAGAAAGCUGUGAGAGAAGCUAAGUUAGCGGCUUACGACGAUAUGUAUAAACGACUAGAUACCAAAGAAGGAGAGUUGGAUAUCUAUAAACUAGCUAGAGCAAGGGAAAAGAAGACAAGGGACCUAAACCAAGUGAGGUGCAUCAAGGAUGAGGAUGGAAAAGUUCUUGCUACAGAGAAUGCGGUUAAAGACAGAUGGAGAGGUUAUUUUCAUAAUCUUUUCAAUGAAGGACAUGAAAGGAGUGCUUCUUUAGGGGAGUUGAGUAACUCAGAAGAGUGUAGAAACUACUCUUUUUAUCGUCGAAUCCGGAAGGAAGAAGUGGUUGUAGCUUUGAAGAAGAUGAAGCAAAGAAAAGCAAUAGGCCCAGACGAGAUACCAAUCGAAGUGUGGAAAGUUUUGGGAGAGACAGGUAUAACAUGGCUCACUGACCUUUUCAAUAGGAUUUUGAAAACGAAGAAGAUGCCAAAUGAGUGGCGAACAAGCACUUUAGUGCCUAUCUACAAGAAUAAGGGCGACGUACAAAAUUGCAUGAACUAUAGGGGUAUUAAGCUAAUGAGUCAUACAAUGAAGCUUUGGGAGAGAGUCAUUGAGCAUAGAUUGAGGCAAGAGACACGGGUUUCGGACAACCAAUUCGGGUUCAUACCAGGGCGCUCAACCAUGGAGGCAAUCUAUCUCUUACGAAGAUUGAUGGAAAGAUAUAGAGAUGGGAAAAAGGAUUUACACAUGGUCUUUAUAGAUUUGGAGAAAGCGUACGAUAGGGUCCCAAGAGACAUUCUUUGGAGGAUUUUAGAGAAGAAAGGAGUACGAGUAGCAUAUAUCCAAGCUAUAAAGGAUAUGUAUGAAGGAGCAAAGACUGCCGUAAGAACUCAUGAAGGACAAACUGAAAGCUUUCCCAUAACUGUAGGAUUACAUCAAGGCUCAUCCUUAAGUCCUUACCUUUUUGCGUUGGUAAUGGAUGAGUUAACAGGACAUAUUCAAGAUGAUAUUCCUUGGUGUAUGCUUUUCGCAGACGAUAUAGUGUUGAUAGAUGAAACUCAGGAAGGGGUAAAUGCAAAGCUUAACCUUUGGAAAGAAGUGUUGGAAUCUAAAGGUCUUCGCCUAAGCCGAUCAAAGACAGAAUAUAUGGAGUGCAAGUUCAGUGCAAAUGGAGGCCAAAACGAGUUAGGGUGUGAGGAUCGGUGAUCAAGAAAUACCAAAGAGCGAUCGUUUUCGUUACCUAGGAUCUAUCUUGCAAAAGAACGGAGAAUUAGAUGGAGAUCUCAACCAUAGAAUACAAGCUGGAUGGAUGAAGUGGAAGAGUGCAUCCGGCGUGUUGUGUGACCGCCGUAUGCCACUGAAGCUCAAGGGAAAAUUUUAUAGGACGGCAAUAAGGCCGGCGAUGCUGUAUGGCACAGAAUGUUGGGCGGUGAAGCAUCAACACGUACACAAAAUGGGUGUAGCGGAGAUGAGGAUGCUGCUUCGUUGGAUGUGUGGGCACACGAGAAAGGAUAAGAUUAGGAAUGAGGAUAUCCGGGGUAAAGUAGGAGUAGCCGAAAUUGAAGGAAAGAUGAGAGAAAAUCGGUUACGGUGGUUUGGACAUGUGCAAAGAAGGCCUACUGACGCUCCGAUUAGAAGAUGCGACUAUGGGACAGAGGUUCAGGGCCGAAGGGGUAGAGGAAGACCUAAGAAAACUUUGGAAGAGACUCUAAGAAAAGACUUAGAGUACUUGGAUCUAACGAAGGACAUGACACAGGACCGAGCACAAUGGCGUUCUAAGAUUCAUGUAGCCGAUCCCACUCAGUGACUUGGAUUUUCCAAGUCUCCAACCGAGAAGUUUUCCUCACUCAGGAAAUUAAGGGAACACUACCUCAACCUACAUGCUCCACUCAUAAAGCUCCAACAAAAGAAAAUUCAAAGAACUUAGAGAAGAAGGCUUUGGUGUAUUUAACACAAUACGUUGAAAUGAAGGAAAGCUUAUUUAUUGAUAUCCCCGAUAAGCUACAAAUAUGUACAUAUACAUGAGUCAAAAUAAACAAACAAGAGAGAGCCUUCACAAAGGUUGCUUAGGAGAAGUCGCAGCAGUCGGUAGAGCCCCAGAAAGAGAAGGCACUGGAGGGGGAUCAUUCGGAGCCUCAGUACUGGACAGAACCCUAGAAGGAGGAGGCAUCAGAGGUUGAUCAUUUGGAGCUUCAUUACGCGGUACAGCCCCAGAAGACGAAGGCAAUAAAUGCCUUUGGAACAAACCCACAAAUCUCUGAUGAUCAAGUAAAACCUGACCAUCAGAUUCCUUCAUCUGGUCCAGCUUCCUCUUCAUGUUUGUAGCAUAGUCAUGUGCGAGACGGUGCAACUGUUUAUUCUCAUGCUUGAGCCCUCUAAUCUCCUGUUUGAGACUCAUCACUUCAGCCGCCAAUGAUUCAACUUGGCGGGUUCGAGCAAAUAGGCGUUGGGCCAUAUUAGACACAGAACCUGCACACUGAACACUGAGAGCCAGAGAAUCCUUAACAGCUAACUCAUCAGAUCGUUUGGAAAGUAGUCUGUUAUCUUUGGGAGUGAGAAGGUUCCUGGCCACCACCGCAGCGGUCAUAUCAUUCUUCAUAACGGAAUCCCCAACGGUAAGAGGACCAGUAGGGGAGACGAAGGAUGGGCGCCAUAUGUUGUCUGGAGAAGGCGGGGCUGCCUCUUCAACAAGGUUCAAGUCAAAACGACGGUCGGAGGGGCCAGACAUUUUCAAAGGUGUUGAAGAGAGAAAGAGGUCGAACAAAUCAAGAUCUUAGAAGUGUAAGAAUGGAGCUUCUACUGGUGGAGAUUCAAGUGUGCUUUGGAACUUAAUGCCAGCCCCUAUAAAAAUCUGCACUCGACGGAGCUUCAGAAAUCGAAGAGGCGCCUGCUCAGAAAUCGAAGAGGCGUUUGCUUUCUCAAAAGCUGGGCUGCUCAAAGACCACGAGGGUCGAUCUCAGAAAUCGAAGAGGCGUCUGCUUUCUCAAAAGUUGGGCUGCUCAAAGACCACGAAGGCCGAUCUCAGAAAUCGAAGAGGCGCUUGCUUUCUCAAAAGUUGGGCUGCUCAGAGACCACGAGGGCCGAUCUCAGAAAUCGAAGAGGCACCUACUUUUCCAGCCUUGGCAGCACCUGUCACACGCACACUCAGCUUUGCGGAAAUUAUGGGCAUUCUGUCGAAGACUUCUGGUGAAGUAGAAAGCACAUGAGAGUCUUACUGUUCAAUCACCCACUUCCCACACGCAAUAGUAGCUCAUGUGUAUCACAGAUAACUUUGCCAAAGUUCUCUGCCAAAGUUGAGCACGUGAAGCUUGCAGCUUCCACUACAUCGCUCUGACCAAGACGGGUAAAAGAAUAGCAAAGAAACAGCACUAACAAAGUUUAGACACAUAAAUUUUGAAGGUCUAGCUACCCCAUAUUAUUACCCACAAGGGUAAAGGAACAGUAUCACUGCUGGAUAAUUGGAAAGUCCCUGUGUGUCAACCUCUGUGCUUCGUGGCAAGGUAGACUAGCAAACAUGCCCAACCUUUACUCACAUUCGAGAAAACACUCCCAACAAGAUUGCUUGCUCCAAAAUCGAAGAGGCACCGUCCUCCGAAUCUCGAGAGCCAGACUCCCAACAUGACUACUUUCUCAAAAAUCGAAGGAGAGGGUAAAGGAACAGUACCAUUGCUGGAUAAUUGGAAAGUCCCUGUGUGUCAACCUCUGUGCUUCGUGGCAAGGUAGACUAGCAAACAUGCCCAACCUUUACUCACAUUCGAGAGAAAACACUCCCAACAAGAUUGCUUGCUCCAAAAUCGAAGAGGCACCGCCCUCCGAAUCUCGAGAGCCAGACUCCCAACAUGAUUACCUUCUCAAAAAUCGAAGAGACACCGCUCUCCGAAUCUCGAGAGCCAGACCCCCAGCAGGAUUGCUUUCUCAAAAAUCGAAGAGACAUCGUUCUCCGAAUCUCGAGAGCCAGAUCCCUGAUAGGAUUGCUUGUUCGAAAACCGAAGAGGCAACACUUUCCCAACUACAAGAGCCGGAUCUCCUUGGAUAAAGCUGUCUGUAAUCUUCACACGCAACAUCAGCUUUCCACAUACCACAGACCACUUUUUCAAAGUGCUCUGACAGGGUAAAGGAAUAGCAUUACUACUUGUUGUUAAGGAGACUCCUAUAUAUGUCAACCUCCAUCCCCAACGGACAGACAGACCUGCAAAAAUGCUCAACCCUUCCUCAUAUAUGAGAGGGCACUCUCAACGAAGCCUUUCGAAAUAUUCAGCUUUCUUUCUCCCCGAUAAUACCUCUGCAAACAAGUUAUACUAGAGCAAGAAUAUCUCAUAUAUCAUCAGGGUUAAAAGCAAGAGUAUCCCAUAUCAUGCUUUUUCCCUGUCUUUUCCUUUGGCCUUGUUCUUACCUGCAAGACAAGGAGAAAGAGAGCAAUCAGUCAGCACUUGGAAUCAAGCUUCCAGCCAGGAACUGACUGCCUGGAACUUACUUACCUGGCAUUGCUCUCGAGUACUCAUCUUCAACAUCUUAUGCUUCCAGGGAAGAUACCGCAUCUGCCUGAGGAACAGAUAGGGCAAGUGAGAAGGAUACAAGGAAGCAUGUGGAGACAAGCGUAACAGCACACGUGCCGAUACAUCCAUUACUCUGUCAAAGCAAAAGUAUCCCAUAUCAGUAGGGUCGAACGUACUCUAGAUUUGAUGGACUUGUUUUGACCCUCAAAUUCUUCAGUCGGCCUUAUACUCUGGAGGAAACCAGAAAAACCCUCCAGCUCAGUUCAAGAAUAAGCCUGUGGAAAGUUACUUCUUCAAAAGCAAAAGUAUCCCAUAUCAUCUCUUCUCAUUUUUCUUCUCUUUAUCCUUCAUGCUGCCUACAAGAUAGGGGAGAAUGUGAACAAUCAGCUGGAGCUCUGAUUGCUUACCUUGUCUGUCACCUCUUUCAGCAAAUCCCCUAGCUCGGCAACUUGAGGGACUCCUACUACAUGGUUUGUAUCGCGCUUGACCAAGCCUGAAACUACAAAUAAGCUUCAAGUGAAAUUGAUACAUUACCUUGUGCAUCUCCACCAGUUAAAGAUACCACCCCUGGAUGGAGGAAGAGUACUUCCAGAGAAGAUGCCACAUCUACCUGUGAGACAGAUAAGGCAAGUCAAGACGAUACCACAUUCCGAUACUUAGAAGUUUCGUGAUUACGAGAUCAUUCUCCCACAAUAUUUCCUAAUGUCAUUUGUACUAAAUCAUUCACCUGUACUCACUAAAGGAAAGCUUGAACCUAGGUACUUGUGUAAACCCUUCACAAUUAAUGAGAACUCCUCUAUUCCGUGGACGUAGCCAAUCUGGGUGAACCACGUACAUCUUGUGUUUGCUUUCCUAUCUAUAUCCAUUUAUAUACUUAUCCACACUAAUGAUCGGAGCAAUCUAGCGAAGAUCACAAAAAGCGACCGUUUUCGCUACCUAGGAUACAUCGUGCACGAGAACGGAGAAUUAGAGAGAUCUCAACCAUAGAAUAGAAGUUGGAUAGAUGAAGUGUAAGAGUGCAUCCGGCGGGUUGUGUAACCGUCGUAGGCCACUGAAGCUCAAGGGAAAAUUUUAUAGGACGGCAAUAAGGCCAGCGAUGGUGUAUGGCACAGAAUGUUGGGCGGUGAAGCAUCAACACGUACACAAAAUGGGUGUGGCGGAGACGAGGAUGCUUCGUGGGAUGUGUGGGCACACAAGAAAUGAUAAGAUUGGAAAUGAGGAUAUUCGAGGUAAAGUAGGAGUGGCCGAAAUUGAAGGAAAGAUGAGAGAAAAUCGGUUCCGGUGAUUUGGACAUGUGCAAAGAAGGCCUACUGACGCUCCGGUUCGAAGAUGUGAUUACGGGACAGAAGUUCAGGACCAAAGGGGUAGAGGAAGACCUAGGAAAACUUUGGAAGAGACUCUAAGAAAAGACUUAGAGUACUUGGUUCUAACGGAGGACAUGACACAAAACCGAGCGCAAUGGUGUUCUAGGAUUCAUAUAGCCGACCCCACUUAGUGGGAAAAGGCUUUGUUGUUGUUGUUGUUGUAUGAUUUCAAUCUGGUUUGGUUUUCUAAUUUCAGUCUUAGUAAUUUAGUUAGUUGUCCUGAAUCUAAUUGUUGUGUUGUAGAUUUCAUGAUCUAUCAGAAUUCGAUGACACCAAACAAAGUUGUCGUAGGCAUUUGCCCUACAUUGAACGCGAUGGUACAGGCACUCAGUUAAAGGACGUAAGUGGUGAUAUAGAUACGGUGAUCAGUCAAACUGAAAGGAGUGGUGCGGUACAAUCACAAAACGACCAAAGUGAAAUUAAAGGUUCAUAUGAAGUGGUGGAAGCCACACCACCAGCAGUUGGAUUGAAUGUACCGAGUGUGCAGGGAACAAGGGAUUCAAGGGAAACGUUGCAGACCUCAGUGUGCAGGGAACAAGGGAUUCAUACAGAGCUAGGACUCAAGCAAAUUCAGGGGAAAGAUGUGUUUGAUUCUGAACCUCCAUACGCUGAAUACAAGGAAACUGAAUACGUACCUCCAUCAGUUACAAUUGACAUGAAUGUGCUUUUGAGAGGAUUGAAGAGGUUUCUUCUUAAUGAAGAGGUGUCAGCGGUUGUGCUAACGGGUCCUGGGGGAAGCGGGAAAACCACAUUAGCAAAAUUCUUCUGUGAAGAUGAGGAAGUCAAAAAUAUAUUCAAGAACAACGUCUUCUUUGUUCAUGUUUCAGAAAAUCCUAACUUGAGCCUUAUGGUACAAACACUAUAUCAACAGAUGGGUUUCCAGAUACCUGCGUUGCAAAACGAAUCAAUUGCACUUCACUGGUUGCACCAAUUUCUCAUGGAAACAGCACUGCACCCAUCAGUGUUGGUCUUGGAUGAUGUUUGGCCUGGAUCAGAAUCCCUUCUUGACAAGUUUGAUGAAUUCAAAACACCAAAUUACAAGAUUAUGGUGACAUCAAGGUUUGAAUUUCCGGCAUUUGGUUUUCCAUAUUAUCUGAAACCACUGAAUGCUGAAGAUGAGAUGACUCUUUCUCAUCAUUCCCGCGCACACAACAUAGAAUUACUGGAUGAUGAAGACCUGAUAUGUGUUUCUCCACCACCCAUCACAUUUGAUGAUGAAGACCCGAUAACUCAUUUUCCUGAUUCCUCCGCAUCCUACUUGGGAGACGGAAGCUCUCAUGUUUCAACAGCUAUAAGGCCAAUGGAUCAAUUUCAUGAUUCCUCCGCAUCAACCUUGGGAGAUAAAAGCUCGUAUGUUCCAAAAGAUGCAGGGACAAUGGUGAGUUCUUAGUCUGCAAUGAACACCUACAAAUUCUCAUGCUUUCGUUUUUUUCGUUUGUGUAAACGCGUUCAUACUCUUACCAACGAGGCUCAGGUGCUUAUCCAACUUUAACAUGCUCUCUUUGUUUCGAUUUAGUUUGAGCCCGACAACCCCGUCAAGUCUAAGCAGACAUAUAUGCAGCAGAAGUUGGAACUGAAGGUGAGUGCCAGUGACAAAGCAAUGAAGAAAGUCAUGAAAGCUGUCCACGCCAUAAAGGGUAUUCUAAUCUUUCUUGCCUAGUUUUGUUAACAGCACUUUAUAUGAGACGAAUACAAAGUAUUAUGUAACGAAACCGUUUCAUUUUUUGGGUGAUUUGGAUGAGCAGGGGUUCAUUCGACCAGUUGGGACGCGGAGAACCAGAGGCUAACAGUGAUGGGGCAGUUGGAUCCGGCGCUAAUAGCUACUAGGUUGAGAAAGAUUGCUUCGAAAACAGAGGUAAUAUCAGUUGGGCCAGCGAAGGAAGAGAUCAAAGAAGACAAGAAAGAUAAAUUGACCGAGAGAAAAGGCGAUAAGAAAGCUAGAAAUCUCACUAUGAAAGAGAAAAUGGAAGACAAGAACCAAGAAAAGAAAGAGCGAAGUCUUACCGUGAAAGAGAAAAUGGAGUUCGAUAAAAGAGAUGAGGAAGAGAGACUUCUAGAUGAGAAAGAGAGAGUCAUUACACCCAGGUGACACAGCCGUAAGAAAUCUCUCUUCCGGCUCCUCCGGUGGCUGUCCUUGUAUUUUGUUUGUAAUCUGUAAAACGAUAAAAGGGAAUUAAAGAAGCAAUCAUCCAAGAACUCUGCUUCAGAUGCCAACGAUAUCAAGGGUGAAGAUCAGAUAAACGUACAUUUUUCGAUCAAUGCUGUAAAUGUUUCAGAUAGCAAAACAGAAAACAGGUGGUAAUGUUGUACCGUGUUCCUGCUAGGGUGUAUCAUAUCUGCAUUUUUCUAAGACAUUCAUUUUAUUCUUAAUUAUCUUUCAGGUUUUGGUACAUCCAUUUGCUUUAAGGUUUAUAUACGCCGCGAUCAUCUAUACGGUGCUGUGAACUACCUUGUUUCUUGGAAAUGAAAAAUUCGAGAAUCUGGCACAUUGCCGAUUGCAUAAAUCGCCCAAAACAACCUUACUCUAGCACUACAAACAUAUUCUCUAGCAUUUCAUCUUCGAUUUGCCCGUCAGGGAUGGGAGAUGCGCGGCAACCAUGUCAAGAAGAAAGCAGAGCUUGCCGAGAAACCAACCAGCCCAAUGUUAAAGGAUUAGUACUGGCUUCAUCAGCUGACUUGAAAUCGAAGCUUAGAGAAUCAGGUAACUUUGAUCCCCACCUCCAGGCGAAAGUACUGAAAGUGGUUGAUGUUUCUUAUGGAGGAGAGGAUGGUUUCAAUCAGGCUGUUAAGUUGUCGGCGGAGUUUCUGUCCAACGUGAAAUUUAUACAGGAGCACAACUUGCUAGGAAGACACCUUGAAGAGGUUAACCAUGGGCGUAGAUGACACGCUAAAGGCUUUGGAGAUGGGAGCGAUUAACACACUUAUUGUGAGGGAAAAUCUUGACAGCAAUAGGUAUGUGUUAAAAGAACUCGAAGGCCGAUGAGAUUGUUGUAAAACAUUGCGACUUUCGAUAUCUUGGCAGCCAAGGAGAUCUAGAGGUUCAGGAGAGGAUCUCACUGCUGAAAUGGUCUGUUGACGAGCACAAGCGUUUUGGUUGUGAUCUUAAGUUUGUCACCAACAAAUCACACGAGGGUCGCAGUUCUGUCAAGGUUUGGAGGCAUUGGAGGGUUACCGAAUGAGUAUUUCUAGCCAGCUUACUGAAUGAAUUAUUCACAUCUUAUUCAAAUUAGUAAUAUGCCAGUUCCAGAUACAAUAUUCACACAACAGACACAAGGAAUCCACAACGAACAACAACAAUUGAAAUCUUCAAUUGUUAAGAAUUUGACAAGCUAAAUACAAGCACGAGCAUCCAUACACUUACAUUUGACAUGCAGAUGGAUGAACUUGAAAGCCUUCACAGAUGCUACCAGUUUUCCUUGACUAUCUUCGAUUUCUCGAGAAUGAAUUUCCCUUCCUUGUACUUCUGUGUUUGCUCAUAGGCGCGUUCAUACUUCCAACCCAGCACCUCAUGGCAGUCGCAGCAGGAGACAUCAGCGACCGUGUGCAGACCAGUCAUGAGUUGUCUGUCUUCUUUUGGCCCGACUGUAAUGUUCAUUGCAUGUGAAAACAGAAACGCUCGACCAUUUCUACCCUAUGAUUUAAUAAAAUAGAUAGUCGAAUCAUGUUUCUUGCAAUCUACUCAACAUACUCAAAUCCUGAAGACUAUCGUUUACACACACAAUAACCAUAUGAACAAUGCAGAAAAUAGAAACUCUCAACCAAACACAAGACAACCACUCGGCUCCUGGCAUAGAUAACCAAGUACAAAUUGAAUCUUCAUUUCAUUUUCAACAUGCAAAAAGGAAAAAUCUUUAUUCCUCAUUUACUCCAAAAUUCCAAAUGUAGGGAACAGUAGACACCAAUUCAUCUCAAAAUAAGAACAGAGAUUCGUUAGUUAAUUGAGUAUGAACUGAAUCUUCACUUCAAAUUAGGAAAAAGCUAAAAUUGUAUUCCUCAUUUACUCCAAAUGGCAAAUGUGAUGAAAAGUAAACACCAAUUCAUGUCAAAACAAGAACGGAUGAUCGUUAGUUAAUUGAGUAUGAACUGAAUCUUCAUUUCAAAUUAGGAAAAGUCUAAAAUUGUAUUCCUCAUUUCCUCCAAAUGUAGUGAAAAGUAAACACGAAUUAAUUUCAUUGUAAAGACCGGAUUUUUAUUAGUUACCCAAUAAGCAUAAUGAGAGGCAAUCAGAAUAUCCACAACAACUUGAUCAAAGUAAAGUUGUUCACCUGGAAGGCUUUCGAAAUGACAUCGUCGUGAAGGGCAACAUGGUUUCGGCAAUUGCAGCAGCUGUACAACCUCGGCCCAACCAAUUCCGCCAUCGAUAAUCGAGAAAACUACGAACAAGACCAGACCCCUUAAAGCCAAAAUAUACAAAAUCAAGACCCUCCCCUUACAGAGCAUCCAGCAAUCGGCAUAACUUCUUAGCAAAAAAUCAAAAUUACAAAAAUUCAGGAGUAACAAAAUGCUUGCCUUUUUAAACCAAAAGAUAUUGGUCUAUAUGAUUUUGGAUAUCAACUAAUCUUGUACGCAAUUUCUGUUGACAGAACAAAACAGGACAGUGAUUACGUGAAGAAUCAAACAACUUAAGCCAAUGAUUAAGAGCAGUAAUGGUGAUCAGUUAAGCCAAUAAUUGCACAAAAACCCAACUUCUAAAACCACCACAAGAUCAGAAACAAGGUAAAACUAAAUCACAAUAAUUGGAAAUGAAUCGUGGCUUAAAAAUAAAACCCAGAAUUUAAAAAGUGAAAAUUUUGAAACUUUUUCAUUAAUUAUGAAAUGGGCAGUGGAGUGAUCACCUGAAAAUGCACGCGAUAUUGAAGAUGUGAAGAUUAAACGGAUGGAUUAAGAUUGAUUAAGAGUUGUACCUAACCAGUGUGCCAUGGUGCCUUUAGAGAGAGAGAGAGAGAGAGAGAGAGAGAGAGAGAGAGUUUAAUCGUAGUAGCAGUAAAGGAGAGAUGCGUCAGUGUUUGGGUGAGGAAGUAGGAUUCUCUUUUUUCGUUUUUUAUCUUCUCUAGGGGUGGGUUCAAAAAACCGAAAACCGAAAAAAAUCGAAAAUCAAACCGAAUCGAAACCGAAAAAAUCGAAUCGAACGAAAAAACUGAACCGAAUUAAAAAAUCAAACCGAACCGAAUUCUUUUGGUUCGGUUCGAUUUUAGUGAUCUAGAAACCGAACCUAACCGAAUUAAUUAAAUUAAUUUUUGUAUUUAAUUAUUUGUUUUGGGUAUUAUUUUCUAAACCCAAUUUGUAAGUUAAAAUGUGCUAAACUCAAUGUGUUGCCAAACUUUAAGCUCAAAAUAUUAAAAAAAAAGCCUAUAAAAACUCUAAACCCUAACUUAUUAUUUCUCCUCCAUAUAAGGUUCCGGAACCCAACCUCCUCCUGAAGUACCUACAUCCAUCUCCAUAGCACUGUCUACUUUUGCCCCAGCUUUCUUUUCCAAAUCUACUCUCAUAUAACAUGUAACAGAAUCCAUAAACAUUUAUUUUGGGUUGAUUACUUGAGUAAUUUGUGAUGGAAAAGAAUCCAACACACACUAAAUAAAUUCACCCACUCAUUACUUUUACUAAUCAAGUUGUCAACAUACAGUUACAAGCAAACAACCUUGAUCUUUGAACAACAUCAUACAAUUUAACUUUUCUAAGUCAUUUGUACGAUUUUUGUGUUGUGAGGUUGUUAGUUUGGACUUUGGAAGACUUGAUUGAUGAUUUUAGUUCAACUUUAAAUGUUUAUUGUCUUUGAUUUUAGUUAGAAUGUUUAUGUUAUGAUUGUAUUGGAGAUGUUAAAAUUUUAAAUUUCAAUGUUUUUCAUUUUUUGAAAAAAUAAAACAAAACAAAAAACCGAAACCGAACCGAAAAAAAAAUGAACCAAACCGAACCAAACCGAAAUUUCGGUUUGGUUUCGAUUUUGGCAAAAAACCAAACCGAUUUGAACCGAACCCACCCCUACUCUUCUCUUAUUUGAAUAAUUACGAUUAAGUCACAUCAAUAUCUUAUAUUAAUUUUAUAUAAAAAGAUAAAGAUAAAAUGAGAAUGUAAAAGAAGGAAAGAGAAGGAGAAAAAGAAGAUGAAAGAGAAUUCUACCCCUGUGUCUUAUGAUAUGAGGUUAUCUUAGGAAUGAUAGUGGGUAGAGAAAUAGGGUUUAAUUUUUUAACUUUUGGUGGUGGGUGGGGUUAUAAUGUGGGUGAAGAAAUAAGACAUUAGGAUGGGUCUAGUAACCCAUCACACAGAAAACACCAAACAGUGAAACCCUAAAGAAGCUACAAUCUCUGUAGCUACUGCCUCCAUGACAUAGCUCUUGCUCCAUGACAUGAUCAACACAAUAUGUCGCCCCCUUGACCACUUGCGAGUGUCCCAUUCUUGAGUAAAAGUAAGGUUGCAUCAUCUUCCCAGGACCACCACAACAACGAUCGCUGCCACAUGACAUAGGAAGUCCACAAGAAGAAAGAUCCCACAUGCAACAUCACUAACAAAGGUGAACAGCAGGAAGGGCUAACAAGGGUUAACAAAGGUGAUGGUGCGAACACCCAAGCCGAAACUCUAGACAUCCUCCCUAAAAUCCGUGACAAAUUGCGAAAGGGGUGUGUAGAAGUGUGAUUCCACACAUCCCUUUUUACUUCUCUCACACUUUUUUAAUUUUCGGUCGUCGGAUCGGAUGAAUUGAAGAAGAUUAACGGACAUAAAUUAACAAGGGGUGUGUGAGAAGUAAAAAGAGGUAUGUGAAUAGCACACCCCAUUGCGAAAAACACAUACGGUAAUCGAUCAAACUUGUAAAUGGAUGGGAAGAUGAUGGAACCCACUGAUGAAGAUGAUGGGGAGAGAUGAAUUGUGGGAGAUGGAAGAAACUGGUGAUUUGGAUUUGGGGUAAAGCGAUUGAAAUCAAAGGCAAGAAAAGCAGUAAAGUGAUGAUAGCUGCCACCGACCCUAGCUAAGACUACGGUCAGCGAUGAUAAGGAAAGACUAAAGACAUGUCAUUUCAAUCAUCAGCCACAUGUCUUUUUACUUAAUUCUAGUUAAUUUUUACAUUAAAAAUUACUUUUACAAUUUUGAAAAACAAAAAUAACCAAGGUUAAGGGAAAUGACACGUGACAGAUGAUUAUGUGUAUGAUGAACAUAUACUAUAGUUUAUGUUUAUGAUCAUAAGCAAAAAUGCUCACUUAGUCAUUAGAGAUAGUUCGAUCAUUUAAUCUCAAUAAAAAUAGUAGAAUUAUGAGGAAUGAGUUCAUUCACAGAAUAGUGAGAAGGACUCUCACCGAAAGAGAGAGCAAGGACUUUCACCGACACUAUUUAUAUAGUUUUGCAUUCAUUAUCAUGCCUGCAUUUGGGAUCCUUACAUAAAUUAAAGGCAGUGUCUCGUGCACAUUAUUAUUUGUAUAAAAUAAAUUUUUUACUACUUAAUUGUUUAUUUCAUUAGAACGACAAACAUUUUUUUAUGAGACAAUUUGUCACACGUUAUUGUAGUACAAUUUUUUUUAAAUUUAUGUACACCAAGAAGAUGCUCUUAGCUCUGAUGAUUGCAUCUCGAGUCCCCAUAAAUUAAAGGCUAGGUCUCUUGCAUAUUAUCAUAAUUUCCUUAUCUGUUUAGAGAGCAACGUGGCCUGAUAUUGGACAAUAUUAUAUGGGAUAUUACAAAUACAUGCAAGUUCCAACACCGGCAAUAAUGUCAAUUUCGGCAAUUGUAUUAUGACGCUAGGAAGACUAAAAUUUUAAAUUAAAUUUAUAAAUCAAAUGAUGUGUACUUAAUAAGAUACAAGUACAUUAACUGACAUUUAAUUAAUAAUUCAAUCAUCAACAACUAUAUCAUUUGAUUUUAAAAUUUUGAUUUCACUAACAUUACCUAUCGAAAACAACUACAACUUUUUAAACUUAAGAAUACUUUUUUCAAGUCUUAAACUUAAAAACACAAUACGCGAGUUUUUGAAGUUUUUUAACUCAACCAACCUCUGCCCCCUCUUUGAUCCUCCUCUCUCCUUGCCCUCUCUCACUCUCCAAUAUUUGUCGCUCUCUCUCACUCUCUAUCCUCCAAUUUUACAGAUAUGUUGUCUCUCCUGUCGUUCUUCAAUUUCUGCCUCUCCUCACCAGAAUCACUAAAUCAAGUUUAGCCUCUACGAUCUCAUUUGUCCAAUAAACCUCUUCGACUCAGUCAUCGACAUUGGGUCGAUUUUGAACCGCAGUGAGGGUUUUUUCUACACGCCAGCUGCCGUUGCCGUUAUUGUGGAGCCAAAAAUAAUUCAAAAAAUUAUGAAGAUGCCAUUUGGAUUUUUGGUUUAAAAUGACAAAAUUAUCCUUAAGGCACACCAUAAUUCCCACGUGCAUGCAACGAACAUAACCACUCAAUCAAGGAAGAGUCAAAGAUGAUCAAUAUGGUAUUUAUUCAAAUCUCUCUCAUCACUCCUCAUCAAUCCCUUGUUGAUUUUAGGCCUUUUAGUCAAAAUGAUCACUAAGAUUUGCAUAACUCCUCACUUUGGUCCCUGAUAUUUGAAAUCGAUAAAAUUGGUCCCUGAGUUUGUCCAUGAUCAAUCAUUUUGGUCAUUCCAUGAAAACCUCUAUUAAAUAAGAGUAAAAUGACAAAUACCCUCAAUUUUUGUCAAAUCAUUUAAAUCCUUAUUUAACAUAAUUUUUACUAAAAGACCAAAAUGAUUGAUAGUGGACAAUCUCAAGAACCACUUCUAUUGAUUUCAAAUCGUAUGGAUCAAAAUGAGGAGUAAUUGUCAUGAACCAUUUUGAUUAAAAAACCUUGAUUUUAUUCAAAAGGCAACUCCAAAAACUUCCUUUUUAAAUUAGGAAUAAUUGUCAUGUUAAUUGCAAGAUAAUAUUUCACAUAAUAUCUUACAAUUAUUCACCUAUUUAUACCAUAUAUGCCUGAUUUGUUAAUUGCAAGAUAUUAUUUCCCAAAACUUCCUAUUUAAAUUUCACUUUGUCAUGAACAAUUCUAAUGGCCAAUUUGUUAAUUGCAAGCCAUUCCUUUUAUUUCACACCUACAGCCUUGUCUCUAACUGGGCCUCUCUACCCUUAUCUCUAUUUCUCUCCCUAGAGUAGUUGCAGAAGCGUAGAGAUCUUGAUGGUGGUUCGAAUGAGGCUUAUGUAAAGCCCUGUCCAUGGCAGCUAUUUAGCUUCCAAGUCUUAUGUAUCUGUUAGGCACCAGCCAUUGCUAUUGUUGCUUUCUUAACCCAAACCCAGAUUGUGACCGAAAUCUAUAUCAAAACUCAUUCUCCAACCCAAUUCUUUAAUGGGUAUUUACCAUUCACCUUAAAAUUAUAAUCUUUUUUGUGAAUGAUUGAAGAGAUUGGGGUGAAAAAUGAAAAUUUGUAGCAAGAGAGACAGAGGUAGUUAGGGCUCUGACGUUUUGAUUUUUAAUUUGUUUUUUUUUUAAUUAUUUAACGUUUUAAUUUGUUUUUUAUGUAUUUAUUAAAAAAAUAGAGCUUUUCUUUAAUUAUACUAGCAGAGAGCACACACUUUGUGUGUGAAUAAUUUUUCUUAAUAAGUGCUUUUUAAUAUUACAUAAUUACUGUUUUGUCAUCUUAUGUAAAUAUUGUGUAUCAAAAGUGAGGGUAAAAUUGAAAAAAAUAAGUAUAUGAUUGUCAUUUAAAAAAAUGGUAAAAUAGGGAUAUGAUUGUUAUUUUGUCAAAAGGUACAAAAUUACUAUUUUGCCAUCUUUUUGUCAAUAGUGUGUAUCAAAAGUGAGGGCAAAAUAGGAAAAAAAUGAGAAAAAAAAGCUAACAAUGAGGGUUCUCUUAAUAGUAUAGAUGAGUAAAUUAGUAAAUUUAUAAGUAGAGUUUUUACUCAAGGGGUAAUAUGAAAGGGAGUUAAAAUUUCAAGAAAUGUUAGUGUAAAGUUUCAAACAUAAGGGAGUUUUGUGAAAACUUGAUAAAUCUCAAGGUGUGUUAGUGUAAUUAAUCUGAUUUUUUUUUAUACAAUGAUAUGAUUACACUAAGGGAAUGAAAAAAAUAAAUUAGUUGCACCAUCGUCAUUAUGAGAUUCAAACUUAAGAUUUUUCACUCACAAAUAAAAAAAUAUCAUAUAACUAAUGUGUGAGAUUUAUCCUAAAAAAAAAAUACCAAACUUUUAUCUAUAUAUAUAAAGGGAGAGCCUCAGUUUGGUAAAGCAUUCCAAAAUGCCAAGAAUAUCCCUAUGUUUCCUUCACAAUCAAAAACCAAAAAAUCCAAAACAGGAGGACAAACUGGUAAAAAAACUUAUAACCAAACAUAAAACUGUAUUGAAAGAAAAAAACUAAAUUUUUAAUAAAAAUUGAGAGCAAGAAAUACAAAAAAAAAAUAAAAUUAAACGGAAAUUAAACCGAAUACUGGUAAAACAAGUCCACGUAAUUUAUAAUUGACGAAUGCAAUGUUGGUAACUAGUCUUGAUUUAAAAUAAAAAGUUGAAAACACAAAGAGACAGAUGCACUAAAAACACCAAUAAAAAAAAUAAAAAAAUAUUGGAAACUGAGGAAAGAAACGUGGGAGAGAGACUGCUGUUUUCAAACUGCUUACAGUUUAAAGGCUCUCAUGUUAUUGCUAAUGGAAUAAAACAAAAAAAGAAAAUAAAAAGAGACCCAAUACGUUUAGAAUAGAACUGCUAUUCGGCAGUUCCAGGCUUGUAGUUCUCAAUUAUUAAAUUUGUGUGUUUUGUUCUCUAUCAAAAUGCUUCUUAUUCCGUAAUUUGCUCUUGCAUUUUCAUAGGAUUAUUGAAAAUUCUGCACAUUAAUUGUAGUGGUUUAAUUGUGGUUUUUGUUCUCUGCAGGUUUUUCUUCCCUUAUCUUAUCAAAUAAAUCAAUUGAUAGGUUAGGCUUUCAUUUUUUUUUAUUUUUCUUCACAGGACUUUUAGGGUGCGUUUGUUGUACCGGACUAUUUCGGACUGGACUAGCUGCAGGGACUAAGCUGGACUGGCUUAGACUAGACUAAGCUGGACUAACUUAGUGAAGCGUUUGGUGCAGUGUCGGACUAAGAAUAUGAACUAACUAUAGAUUAUUAUUAUAUUUUAAUUUAUUAUUAUCAAAAUUAUUAUAUGAAUAAAAAAGGGCAUAUCCCUCUUCUUUUUCUCGAAUUGCAGGUAAACUCUACAACUUCAACCCAGUCAAACCCAGAAAACAUCAUAAUUUAAUCCAACCCAACAAAAAAGAAAUGGAAAUUUAAUAAAGAAAUGGAAAUUUAAUAAAAAAAAGGCAUAUCCCUCUUCUUCUUCGCGAUGUUCGCCAAGCGCCAAGCGGCUACAAUUCGAAUCUACAGCCAAAAGGACGCAGUCGAGAGGUCGGAGACGACACUCGGAAUAGAACAGGAAAUUUUAUCGAAACCGAAAAUGAGAGGACUUUCGACAGUCCCAACGACCUCUCUCUCUCUGUCUAAGUUACUCACUCCUCCUCGUCGAUUCGAUUUCUAACAGGGACUCUUUCUUCUUCUUCUUCGCUACAAGCAGCAACAACCAAUUGCAAUUUUCUUCCCAGGGCAGCGAAGCAGACGAAGGCGAUAAUGGAUGCAGCGAUAGUGGUCGAAAGCAAGCGAGGACGAUGGAAGGUCUUAGCUGGUCCCGUUGGUUUCGGGGUCUCUCGCUAAGACCGGCUAGUGAAGCCGUUUGUGAAAACGAGUCCCACCUAGUGCCAUUAAUGUUAGUCCCGCAAGCCACCAAACACAAGAUUACACUAAUACUUAAUCCAAUCCAAUCCAGUGAAGGCUAAGAAGGUUAAACAAACGCCCCUUUAAGGACAUCCACAAAUUAAAGUGAUGGAAUCAAAGUCUUCAGGUUUGGAUUUUUUUUUCCUUCUCUUUUUAGAGUAAUUUUUUGGGUUUCUUCUCACGUUUUUUGGGUUCCUUUACCCAGUCCCCCCCCCCCCCCAAAUAACAAUAACAAAUUAGGCUUCUUCAUUUUUAGACUCUCUUGGGGUUGGCAGACAAGGGGUUGCUUGGAUUGAAACCUCGCUGUCUGGCUUCUCCUUUCUUAUGAAAUUUUAUCCCUUUCCUACGGCCAGUUCGUGAAGGUCGUUUUCAAAUUGAGGUUUUGUAUAUUAUGUCGCUUAAGAUUUGAUUCUUUCUAUUUUGGCUUAUUUUUUGUCUGAUUUCUCAAACAAUUUGGCUAAUGAAGAGUUUAUGGAUAUACAAUGGGACAAUAUUAUUUUCUCUAUGUUUUAUGUGUUUAUUUAGUUUUACUGUGGUUUUCAUCUAUGCCUUGAGUUUUGGCUUCUCUAUCUUUUUAUCUUUUGUAGCGUUUUAGGUAAACGGCGAGAAUUAUUCAAGUAUGCGACAUCAUUUUAAUUUCAUGUGAAAAAUCUUCUCUUAUAAUUCUGUUUGAGUGAUUGAAUAUGCAUAUGUGAGCUCUUAGGUUUGGUUCUGUAUUUAUUGUUAAAGAAAAACAGGAAGUGAGGAACACAAUAACCCUACCACGAUUAUGUAUGAAAUAAAUUGGAUCUAUUAAAAACUCAUAUUUGGGUGUGUUGUUAGGAAGAAAUGCCUAAACUCCGAAUUUGUAUGGAACAAAUUCAUUAUAGAAUAGAUUAAUUGUAUGUGUUAUUGCUUGUAGUACAAAAUUGACUUCUUUGCCCUCCUACAAGUCAUAGCUUUGCUAAUAAAUUGAGAACAAUGUUUGAUUUAGUUUUUUUCUUUCUUUUUAUUUUUGUCGAAAUGUCUUAUUUAGUUUAACUCUUUUCAUUUGAUAAUUCCCUUGCCAUUGGUUUGAGAUAUAAAGUAUUUCAUUUCAGUCAUCAAGUCACCUUUUUACUUCUAUUAUGUUGAUUUUUGUCUGUAGGUACACAAAAAUAUGCAGAUUUUGCUUUCAAAUUGAGAGGCCUAAGGACAAUCUCUGUUCAUAGAAAAAAAAGUUGGACAGAGAAGGCAUGGGUAUGGGAACAUGAUUGGUUGUUAUAUUGCUUUGGGACGUUUUGAUAUUUUAGAGAUUAAUGAGUUUGUGGAGAUUUUUCUUUUCACAUCUUGCUUUGUAUUUGAAUUUAAUUACUAUAACUGAACUUACUUUAAAAUUAUAGGACUUCAAAACACGACCAUGGUUAGAAUUAGAGAGGGCCAAGUAUAUAAGUUGAGAAACUAGGCAUUGCAAGUAGGGCUGGUUCGGUAUGGGAUACCGAACCGAAAACAGCAUAUCAAGUUCCAAACCGACUAUUUUUGGGAAGGAAAUCUGAUGGCCGAUCCCAAACCAAAAUUUCGGUAUUCCUGAAGUUCGGGAUUCCUGAAAUAUUUUGUGUAUUUCGGGAUUUCCCGAUACCGAACCUGCAUUAAAAAUUUAAAAUCAGAGACUGGUGAAUCGAUCAAAAUUGAAGGUCGAGAGAGAGAGUGCAAAGAUAGUCAAACCUUCGUCUUUCUCCUGACCCGAGCCUCCAAUUUGAAACCCUAACCUUGAUUUGAAACCCCACACAUAUAAAUAAUCGCUGGAGAGAAUCAGAGGUGGGGAUGAAUUAGUGGUGGUGGCCGGAGUGGAGAGAGUUUGUCGGAGUCUGAUUGUGAGAGGAUGGGUGGGUCUUUGAAUUCGAGAGGAGAGACAGAAAGAGUCUGAGAUUUUGGCGAAAGCAGAGAUGGAGACUUAGGCGAAGGCAGAGAUGGAAGAGAGUGAGAUGGGAGAGAGUCUCUUCUUCUCGGAACCUCGAUCAUUUCCAUCCAAGAGACACUUUGUCCAAGGAGUGAGUCUUUAGACACAUUUCUGCAACUUUCCUUAUUUUAAUAUUAUAUAAUAGGCUACGUUUGCAAUUUGCUUGAUUGUAAUUUAGACAACACACAACAGUCAUGUGCUUUUCUGCACACUUUGAUUAUUUUAGUAAUAUAUAAUUGAUAUUGCAGUUUGCUUUUCUGCAUAUUUUGAUUAUUUUAGUAAUAUAUAAUUGAUAUUACAAUUUGACUUUUCUGCACACUUUGUUCUUUGGCAUGGGAAGUACGAACCAAAAGCAAAAGGAAAAGAAGAUUUCGGGAUUUCGGGAUUACCGAAAACUGAAAUCUGAAAACCAAUCCCAUACCGAAUAUUUCGGUAUUUUUCGCUAUGGAAUUACCAAAGUUCGGGAUAAUUUCGGUUUGGGAUUUUUCGGUUUCGGUUUGGGAUUUUUUCGGUUUAGUUUGGGAAUUUAGGGAAUUUUUUCCAGCCCUAAUUGCAAGUAUAUAAAUUCCAAUUGUAUUAUUGCUAAACCAUAUAUAUCCAAUGUAGUUAAGAAUUAAAUUAAGUACAAACUACAUGGGGAUGGAGAAAGUUAUAUAAAGGGGAGAGCCUAAAAAUACUUUAAGAAUCAAAUACUGCACAAAUUUGAACACUGAUUAGUGCCUCGAAAUGAGGUGUAGUGUGCCUGAACUCUAGUGUGCCGCUUCGGUGCCUGAGUCUACGGGUCGGGUCUUCAACGCGAAAGCGGGGCAGACGUUUCUCGAUUCCUCUUCCCGAUCCUAGCUGUUUGUGGGUCUGGCAGUGCAUGUAGGAAUCGGGAGCUGGGUGACUAUGCGGUCUCUGCGAUGCUUGUGGGAGGGGUCGUUUGGAAGAAGAAGAUCUGAGGGUGGCCUGGGAGUGGGAUGUCAGGAAUCCCUUGGCGGGGUCUAGGGUUUCAGGGUGUUGAUGGGAUUUAGAUCUAGAUCUGGCUUCUGGCACCUUGGGUGAGGAUUGGACACCGCUGGCAAGGAAUGGCUGGUCAGAUAAUGGGCGAGGAUAAACCCAAGAAGGAUAUGGAGGAGCUGGGCUCCCGAUUUGGGGCAAAGCUGAAACUGUUUGAGAAAGAGCUCGGCGGAAUUAGUAUCCAGAGGAAAGAUGUAGAGGGUGCUUUAGUGGGACUCCAGUACACGCUGAUUGCAGAAGUCCUCACUUCUAAAGAGGUAAAUGGGGAAGCCUUCAUUGAUUGCUUCAUGUCUCUGUGGCGGGGGAGGGAAGGAGUUUCUAUAAGAGACAUUGGUGACCGGAGAUUUCUGACAAGAUUUGCGGGUCAAAGGGAUCUACAACGAGUUGUGGAUUCGGACCAGCCUUGGCACUUCAAAAAUGAUUUAGUGAUGGUUGCAGAUUGGACGGACAGUGGACUCAACAGAUGGGCUCCUCUCUCAUCAGGAGUGUUCUGGGUUCAGAUCCACAAUGUCCCUGUUCUAAGCAUGACUCAGGCGGUGGCGGAAUCCAUAGGAGGUCUACUGGGGACGGUCAAAUUGGUGGACAAAUCUGGCAGUAGAGACUGCAUAGGAAGAUUUCUCCAGGUAAAAAUUAAAUUCAACGUCCGUGAACCCCUUAUGCGAGGUACGUUCGUUAACUUUCCUGAUGAAGGCAGAAUGUGGGUUGAUUUUAAGUACGAAGGGCUUCCUAAAUACUGCCUCAUUUGUGGUCUAUUGGGUCAUGCUACUCGGGUGUGUAGAGGCUCUCAAGAUCUAGGAAAGUCAGAUGGAGAACCCAUAGAGGAUUUGGGGGAGGGGUUAGCUUUUAAGGGCCUGGACGUCUUCACGGAUCUGAGGGGUAAACCAUUAGGUGUAGGGGGUAGUGCCAGGACUCCUCGUGGGUCUAGUGGUGGACGCAUGGAUUCUGGAAGAUGGAAAGAUAACCGUAGCGAGGAACUUGAUGGAGGGAAACGAUCUGGCCGAUCAUCCACUGCAUCAGGAAUGGGUAGUCAUUCACAACUUGGGGCUUCGAGAUCGUUCAGUGGGAGUGACUACACUGACAUAGUCAAUGUGGAAGAGGCUGAUACUGCCAUAUCUCCUAACAAACCUCGUUGGUCUUCAAGUAAUCUGGGUAAAGAGAGAUCUAGCCUAGCUGACAAAAUCCGUAAACAACGGCAGGAGGAAGAGGAUGCAAGAAAGGCAAGAGAAGCUGCGUUCGAUGCAGGCUUAAUUGGACCAGGAGGAGUGAUUGCGGAAGGCGUGGAACAUGUCACGCUCUAUGAAAUCCACGAACAGGAGACCCAUGGGAACCUAGCGGACGUGUCAAAUGGAACAGGGCAGAGUUUUGACUUGAAUAGUGAACCAAUUAACAUCGAUGGAAAUGGUGAGGGAAUUAUUGAUAGUGGAGAGGAGUUCGGAAGACUGAUGAGUGCAGAUGGCAACGAUGUGCAUGGAACGAGCAUGGAGAAUGACCCGUUUCAACUGGCCCCAAUAAUUGAGGCAGUUAUGAAGGAACAGAAAGGGAGGAAACGUAACAUCCAGGAAAUGGCGCUAUCAUCGACUCUUCCUCCGGAAGAGCCAACAGUCAGCAGACGAAGGAAAGAUGUUAAUGUUAACGAGGCGGAGGAGACCAGCCGUAAGGGGUCCCCCAAGGAUCCAUGAAGAUAAUCACGUGGAACUGUCAGGGUAUCGGGGGUGACCUGACAGUAGACAAUCUGCUGGAGCAGAACCGGCUUCACACCCCUGACAUGGUUAUUCUGCUGGAAACUAAGAAUAAAAGUCAGAAUUUCAUCCAUCUGAAAAGAAGUUUGGGUAUGGACCACUGGUUUAUUGUUGAGCCUCGGGGCAUUGGAGGUGGCAUAUGUGUUUUCUGGAGAGAUGAUACUCCUGUGGUGUUAAUGAAAUCGGAGGAUUUUUUUGUGGAACUCAAGCUGUGGGAUGAAAAGAUGAACUGUAACUGGAGAUUAUUCGGCGUUUAUGCUAGUACUGAUGAAAAGAAGAGAAGGGAGCAAUGGCAAGAAUUAUCAAAACGCAUAGGCCAAGAAAGGGACCGCUGUCUGCUCAUAGGAGACUUCAACGACAACCUUUGUAACGAUGAGAAGGAGGGAGGAAACUACAGACCGGCUGUGAGCCUUCGGGACUUUAGAAAUUUUAUGGCUCGAGAGGAGCUCAUGGACUUGGGUUACGAAGGAUACCCCUUCACUUGGAGAAAUAAUAGAGAGUCGAUGCCUAUCCAGCAACGCCUUGACCGUGGGAUGGCAACUAUGGGUUGGUACGAAAUGUACCCCAACACAAAAAUUAAGCAUGUGCUCUUGGAAGGAUCAGAUCACUCCCUCUUACUCCUUUCGACAGAAAAAGAACUGAACAGAAAGGGCAGACAAUUCUCUUUCGAUGGGCGAUGAAGCAAAUCGGAGGAAUGUCGGACUCUGGUUGGGGAAGAAUGGCGUGACAAGAUUAAAGGAUCACAUGCGUUUCGCUUUUGCGAUAAACUGAAACAUCUAAGGAGAAGAUUAAAAGUCUGGUACAAAGGAAGAGGCAGGAAUUCUGCGAAGAUGAUCCUGCAACUGAAAGAAGAGAUUCGGGUGGCCUAUAUCUCUAACGAAUUUGCCUCAAAGGAGGUUAAGCAAAAAGAGAAGGAGUUUAUUGCUGCUCAUCGGCAGGAUGAGACUUAUUGGAAAGUAAAAUCUAGGAAUCAGUGGCUGCGAGAGGGCGACAAGAACACUAAAUUCUUCCAUGCUCAAACACUGAAAAGGAGACGUUUCAACACGAUCCGGGGGAUAGAGGACGGUCGUGGGAUCUGGCAGCAGAGUUUGAAGGGGAUAGGUGAUACUGCUAUCGAAUAUUUUUCUGACCUCUUUCAGUCCUGUAAGCCUAAUCUUGUGGAGGAAAUUCAAAGUUGUAUAGAGAGCCGGCUCUCCAUAGAGGAUAACCAGGGAUUAACUGCUAUGGUCACCGAUUGCGAAAUUAUGGAGGCUGCAUACCAAAUCCCCCUUACGCGGGCUCCGGGCCCUGAUGGCUUUUCUGGCUGCUUUUACCAGGACCACUGGGACACGGUCGGGCCGGAUGUAAUCAAGAUUGUCAAAGCAUUUUGGCACUCGGGAACCCUUCUUCGUAAACUCAACCAUACAAACCUAGUAUUAAUCCUGAAGAUGAAGUGCCCUAAAAACAUGUCGCAAUACAAGCCCAUUGCCUUAUGUAAUGUCAUUUACAAGAUCAUUGCCAAGGUCCUCACUAAUAGGCUUAAGAGGGUGAUGCCGAAAGUGAUUGGGAGAACCAAUCUGCCUUCGUGGCGAGGAAGCAAAUUCAAGACAAUAUCCUUGUGGUACAUGAAGCCCUCCACUCCCUUAUCCACCAGAAAUCAGGAGACCAUCCUGGUAUGGCCAUAAAGCUUGACAUGGCUAAGGCUUACGAUCGAAUUGAAUGGGAAUUCCUCCUGGGCAUGAUGUGCAGUUUGGGUUUCGCGCCUCUUUUCUGUAAAUGGAUAAAGGAAUGUAUUUCUUCUGUAUCUUUCAGUGUUCUUAUAAAUGGUUCCCCAACGGGGUUCUUCCGGCCGAAUCGGGGUCUUAGACAAGGUGAUCUUCUAUCCCCUUUUCUCUUCCUUCUCUGCACUGAAGGGCUCUUAAUGCUAAUUAGGAGAGGCUUGGAAAGGGGUGUCCUCCACGGGUUCAAGAUUUCCUUCGCGGGAGCUCCCCUAACGCAUCUUUUCUUUGCGGAUGAUUCUGUGGUUUUUGGAAAUGCGUCUGUAGAGGAAGCGGAAAGUAUUGUGGAAGUGUUAAAGACUUAUGCUCGAGGCUCUGGUCAGGAGAUUAACCUGACCAAAAACUCUGUCUUCUUCGGUGCUAAUACUUCGAAGAAAAUGAGAGCUAACAUCGUGGACUCCCUGAUGAUUCAAAGCAAAUAGGGAUUUGGGAAAUAUCUGGGCCUGCAGGCCGAUUUUGGGCACUCAAAAAAAGCUGUCUUUGGCGAGAUUCGGGACAAGAUUGAAGCUCGCAUGUCAGGGUGGGCUGAGCAGUUUCUGUCCCAGGCGGGCAAAGAGAUCCUGGUGAAAACUGUAGCUAUGGCGUUGCCUAACUACGCUAUGAGCUGCUUCAAACUCCCCAUUGGCGUUUGUCGGGACGUUGAAAGAGCCAUCCGGAAUUACUGGUGGCGUGGUAAUGAACAAAGGAAGGGUAUUCAUUGGAUUUCCUAGGAUCGGUUGAUGAAACAGAAAAAGGCCGGUGGUUUGGGAUUCAAGGACAUCCAAUGUGUCAACCUUGCUUUUCUUGCUAAGAUUGGAUGGCGAAUCACCCUGAAUCCUAUGUCCCUCCUUGCUUCGGUCUUGAGAGAUAAAUACUUCCCGGGGAAAUCCUUUGGAGAAGCGCCUAAAGGAAAGAACACCUCAUAGGGUUGGAAAGGCCUGUUUGAAGCUCGGAAAGUGUUAAACCUUGGGCUCAGAUGGCGGGUUGGAAACGGGAAAAGCAUCAACAUUAGGGAGGACCCGUGGUCCCCAAACCCGAAACUUUCAAGGUCUGUCCGAUGAAUAAUCUCGUUGAAACCAUGGUAAGUGAUCUGAUUGACUCAGAUACUAAGGUAUGGAGAACGGACUUGAUUGCAAACGGGUUUCACCGGGGCGAUGUUUCAACGAUCUUAAGCAUUCCCUUAAGUCAUGUUGGCAGUAAUGACAGGCUAGUGUGGCACUAUGCUACUAAUGGGAUAUAUUCCGUUAAAUCGGGUUAUAGUAUGGCUUUAAAGUUAAUGGAUGAUAGUGCUCUGGGAAGAAAAGGGCGUGGCAACCCCAGUGAGAGUAACAAACUAAAGAUGGUAUGGAAUAAUAUCUGGAGACUGCAGGUUCCUCACAAAAUCAGAAUCUUCAUCUGGCGUUGCUGUAAUAAUGCUCUGGCGGUCAGACGGAACCUUAAAAGACGUCAUAUGCGUGUUGACAACGUAUGUGGCGUUUGUAUUGCCGUCAACGAAACUGAAAACCACCUGUUCUUCCGAUGUGAGAUAAGUCAUGUCUUCUGGUUUUGCUCUCCUCUUCAUCUUAAUUCUCAUGUCCUGGAGGGUAGAGACUUUCUUGAAAGCUGGUGUAACUUCUGUGACCAAGUAAAGGACAGGAUCGAUGCGGAUGAUAUUCGUCAUGAUUUUGCCUUUGGCCUAUGGAGAUUGUGGAAAAACAGGAACGAUGUGGUUUUUAAAGGGAUCUAUCGUCAGCCUCUGGAUAUCUUGGAGGCCUGGAAAAAGAGCACCGGUGAGUACAAGGCCAGUCUGGCUCCGGAUCAAGAAGAUCACAGCUUGAGGAUGCCGAAGACUAUCAUGGUCAGUGAUCGUAUAUGUACCAAGUGGAAGAGACCAAGGUUUGGAACUAUUAAGAUAAAUACUGAUGCGGCGGCUUGGUGUAAAGAUACUCUGCGUAUGGGGGUGGGCUGGCUGGGGCGGGAUUUCGCUGGUUUGCUCCAGGCUGCUGGCGGGUCUGGGACUGGAUUCAGCCACAGUGCAGCUGCUGCUGAAGCUUCUGCCAUCAGGUUUGCCUUAUUGUCUUGCAUAGACCAUGGGUUUGAUGACAUUAUCAUUGAAUCUGACGCAAGUACGAUUAUUAUGAUGUUGAAGAAAGAAAUCUUGGUUGAUUUUAGUAUCGAAUGCAUUCUUGAUGACAUUGAGAUUCUAGCGCAAAAGCUGAGGUCUGUCUCUUUUGCUUUUGUGCCUAGAGAGGGCAACCGUGCUGCUCACUCGGUGGCUAAGUAUGUAUUCAAGGAGGGACGUUCUUUCUCUUGGGAUUGUAUUGGCCCUGAAUUUCUGUUUAAUUUCCUUGCUAAGGAUGUAAACCUUUCUAUUCGUCUUUAAUAUAUUUCUAUCUUUCGUUAAAAAAAAAAAAUACUGCACAAAUUUGUGAUAAGUUGAUGACUAAAGAUGACUGCCUUUUGUAAAGCAGUUUUUGACUUUUCUGCAUUCUUUUAUAUAGUUUUUUCUUUUUUUCUUCCUAUUUUGUUAGAUUAGAUAGAUAGGGGUGCUGAUAAAGAAAAAGUAUUUUUGCAUUUUGCUGCACGUGAUGUUGAAGGUAUACAAUGUUCAAUGACUGAACCCUAUUCCCUAAGCAUAAUUAUACAAUAGCUACACACAAAACAUUGAAAGUAUACAUGCGUGCAGUAAGAAUGAAUGGUAAAAAUGCCAUGUUCCUUUUAACAUUGCGAAUUACCGAGCUUUCUGGAGGGAGUAUAAAUACGAAUGCUCUUGGUGGCCUUCAUUUAAUUUCUUACUAAUUUCAUCUCAAUGUUUUGGAACUUUUAACAGCCCUCUCACCAAACAUAAAAUUUUUAGGAGCACGCAGCACCUGUAAUUAAAAAAAUGCCUCUUUUGCAUGCGCGUUAGCGCGUGCGGAGAUGUUAGCAAUUUAUAAAGUAAGCGACAGGAACAAAGAGAUUGAGGACAUAUGAUUGGCGACAAAGAAAAAUAUUAGAACGACAGGAACAAAGAGAUUGAGGACAUAUGAUUGGCGACAAAGAAAAAUAUUAGAAAACAGAAACCAGUUGUCAGUUGACUGACUCAGACUCUUUUACCAGUCAACCCUUCACAUUUCCACCUAACCCGAAAACUGUAGCUUCUAGAGGAUGAGGAAGGCUUCGUGGAGGCUGGGCACAGGAGGAGCAUCCAUAUCCGCUCCAUGGUCCGCCACCAACUGCCACCGGAUUCGAGCAAAACUGGCCUGAAUCCGACUGAUCAGUAAUUUAGAUCGAAUCGAAUACGAGUUUUCUGUUUUUUGCGUGUAGGGAGUUUACGGAUGCUCGUAUAUCAUGGCAGUGGCGUUGGUUGGAGGGGCUGCGAUAGGAGCACUGUUUGGAGUACUGUAUGAUGUCGUAAAGGAAUCGAUGGGAAGGACUGUUAUGCAGUACAAACCCCUCCUUGAAGAUCUCAAGUUCACACUUGACUGUUUACGACCGCGGAUCAUCCAAGAGAUAGGGGAUCAUAACGUGGCACUGGGUCUCCCAAACGAUGACAUAGAACGUCUCCAACAACAAAUGGAGGAGGGUAUAAAGCUCGUUGGCAGGUUAUCGAAGCUUAGCAUGUGGAACUGCUACGUCUUAUGCAGUUGCUGCAAAUGCUCGAAGCCGAGCUACACCGAUCGACUUAUUCAGUUGGAUAGGUCUCUUAAAGCACUGUUAGAAGUGCUGAGGUUGCAGGAAGCAAGGGACAUGAAGGAGAACUUGCUUUUGAAUAGGAAGAUAUACGAAAAACAAGAUGAAUUGGCAACAAGGCAGUCGGAAAUACUGAAAAUUGCUGGGGAGAUACUGCGAGCGCAGCAGGAAGAUAAGGGUGUGCAAGAGCCUUCAGGAAGUAGUACACAAACUGUGGUGCAGGAGCAAAUUGGAGGCAGUGGUGUGCAGCAAGCGGCAUCAAUAAACAGAGGAGGAGCUGCUCUAGGAGCAGCGUUUGAGGUACUAUUUAGUGCCGUUCAACAAACGAAGGAGAAGACGAGGAUGUUUAAACGCAUCCUGGGACAUCUCGAGUCCAUGCUAGACUCUAUAAAGCCAUUGAUAGAAGAGAUUGCAGAAUAUAACAAGGUAUUGCAUCUUACAGAGGAAGAACUAGAAAGUUUUAGAGUAGAGAUGGAGACGGGUGUAGAGCUCGUUCGCAAGUGCUCAAAGGUUAGUCUUUGGGCAAGCAACAAAAAGUAUGAAUAUACCAACAAACUUCUUGGAUUAGAUGAAUCUCUUCAAAGAUUGAUAAAUAUACUGAGAGUGCAACUAGCAAGGGAUGCGACAGAAAGCUUGGUUUCGGUAACUAAUAUAGAGACGGUGACCAUGAAAAUUGAAGAGAGUGGUAUCAUACAAUACGAUCCAUUAGUUGAACUUCCAUCGGGGUACGGGGGAGAGUCUUCAGGAAGUGGCGCAGAGACAACACCGCAUGAACAAAAUCGAGAGAAUGGUGGACAACAAAUGGCGCCGUCAGGUGAAGGAGUAGGGGCUGCUGCUCUAGGAGCGGCGUUAGCAAGGGAUGUGAGGGAGAGCUUGGUUUCGGUAAGCAAUAUAGAGGCGGUGAUCAAUCAAAUUGAAGGGAGUGGUGUGGUAAAAUUACAAAAUGAGCAAAAUGAAGCUAAAGGUUCAUGUGAAGUGCCCGCAGCCAUGGCUAAGAGUGAAGUACGAUUGAAUGCACUAAGUGUGGAGGGAACAAGGGACUUGACUGAGACAUUGGAUCCGGAAGCGAAUAUAAUGGUAGGGUGGCAAAAUGUUGAAGACAGUUGGGUGGCACAAAGUAAAACUGAACAUCCAUCUCGUACACUUGGACUGGAUGCGAUGAACAUGCAGGUGGGAGCAAGGAGUAUGGAGGAGACCUCUGUAAGUCAUGUAGAGGAGGGGCUAAAGCGAAUUCAGUGCGAAGAAGUAUCCGAACCUGAUGCGCCAUUUAGGGAAUUGAAGGAGGAUGUUCUUAAGGAUGAGGAAGAUGAGGAACUUGAUGUGCAAGUGGAAGAUCAUCAUGACAGGAAGAAGAAAGGAGCUGAGUCUGUGACAGGUGCAAGUGGAGUCAGGAUGGCGAUUUGUAAAGCUGAUGGGUGUGCAGUCGAUCUGAGUGAUGCAAAGGUGUAUAAUAGAAGGCAUACGGUGUGCGAACUUCAUUCAAAGGCUCCACUUGUGAUUGUGUCGGGUCUAAAGAGAAGGUUUUGCCAUAAAUGCAGCAGGUUUGGCCUCUCCACCGUGUUUUAUAAUUAUCGCACUGCAAAUAUUUUUGCUUCUAUGAUUUCUGUCUGGUUUGGUUUUCGGAUUUCAGUCUUAAUAAUUUAGUUAGUUGUCCUGAAUCUAAAUGUUGUGUUGUAGAUUUCAUGAUCUAUCAGAAUUUGAUGACACCAAACAAAGUUGUCGUAGGCAUUUGCCCUACAUUGAACGUGAUGGUACAUGCACUCAAGUAAAGGACGUAAGUGGUGAUAUAGAUACGGUGAUUAGUCAAAUUGAAUGGAGUGGUGUGGUACAAUCACAAAAUGAUCAAAGUGAAAUUAAAGAUUCAUGUGCAGUGGUCGAAACCACAUCACCAGCAGUUGGAUUGAAUAUAUCGAGUGUGAAGGGAACAAGGGAUGUAAAGGAGACAUUGCAGACCUCAGCAAGUAAUACAGAGGCAGGACUGGAGCAAAUUCAGGGGAAAGAAGUGCCUGAUUUUGAACCUCCGUACGCUGAAUAUAAGGAAACUGAAUACAUACCUUCAUCGGUUACAGUUGGCUUGGAUGUGCUUUUGAGAGGAUUGAAGAGGUUUCUUCUUUAUGAUGAGGUGUCAACGGUUGUGCUAACGGGUCCUCAAGGAAGUGGGAAAACCACAUUGGCAAAAUACUUCUGUGCAGAUGAGGAAGUUAAAAACAUAUUCAAGAACAACAUCUUCUUUGUUCUUGUUUCAAAAAAUCCAAGCUUGAGCCUUAUGGUACAAACACUACAUCAACAGAUUGAACCCAAGGGUUUCCAGAUACCUGCGUUGCAAGACGAAUCAAUUGCACUUCACUGGUUGCACCAAUUUUUCAUGGAAACAGCACUGCACCCAUCAGUGUUGGUCUUGGAUGAUGUUUGGCCUGGAUCAGAAUCCCUUCUUGACAAGUUUGAUGAAUUCAAAACACCAAACUACAAGAUUAUAGUGACAUCAAGGUCUGAAUUUCCAACAUUUGGUUGUCCAUAUUAUCUGAAAUCACUGAAUGCUGAAGAUGAGAUGACUCUUCCUCAUCAAUCCCACACACACAUCGAAUCACUGGAUGAUGAAGACCUGACAAGUGUUUCUCCGCCACCCUCCGUCACAUUUGAUGAUAAAGGCCUGAUAGAUCAUUUUCCUGAUUCCUCUGCGUCCAACUUGGGAGACAGACGCUCUCAUGUUUCAACACCUAUGGGGCCAAUGGAUCAAUUUCAGGAUUCCUCGGCAUCAACCUUGGGAGAUAAGAGCUCGUGCGUUCCAAAAGAUGCAGGGACAAUGGUGAGUUCUUAGUCUGCGAUGCACGCCUACAAAUUCUUAUGGUUUUGUUUUUUUGUUGGUGUAGCCGUGUUCAUACUGUUAGCAAUAUGGCUCAGGUGCUUAUCCAACUUUGACAUUCUCUCUUUCUUUCAAUUUAGUUUCCGCUUGACAACCUCGUCAAGUCUACGCAGACAUAUAUGCAGAAGCUGGUAUUCAAGGUCAAGAAAGAAAAGAAGAAAGCCAUGAAAGCUGUUUCUGGUGUUGAAGGUAUUCUAAUAUUUCUUGCCUAGUUUUGUUUACAGCACUUCAUUCAAGGCCAGUUUUAAUGUAAUAAAACCGUUUCAUUUUUCGUUUCCAUUAAUUGUUCGGUUGAUUUGGAUGAGCAGAUCUUCUCGGGCGAAAAAAAAAAGAAUCGGCCCUUGAUGUUUAUAUCGACAGUCGUAACCAAUCAGGAACUGCCAAAGGCUGGAAGCUAAUAGGUGCCCGGGAAGCAUUAAGCAUCAACCUCGCGACAUUUGAGAAGCCCCUUCAAAAGCUCACUUUUGCAGAUCUUCUUGAGGCCACCAAUGGUUUCCACGAUAACAGCCUUAUUGGCAAAGGUGGUUUUGGUGAUGUAUACAAGGCCCAAUUGAAAGAUGGCAGUGUCGUAGCCAUAAAGAAACUAAUACAUAUCAGCGGACAGGGUGAUCGCGAAUUCACUGCAGAAAUGGAAACAAUAGGGAAGAUCAAGCACCGGAACCUUGUCCCCCUCCUUGGAUACUGCAAAGUAGGAGAAGAACGGCUUUUGGUUUAUGAGUACAUGAAAUAUGGAAGCUUAGAUGAUGUUUUACAUGAACCGAAGAAAGCUGGCAUCAAGUUGAACUGGGCUGCAAGGAGGAAGAUUGCCAUUGGGUCUGCGAGGGGACUGGCCUUUCUUCACCACAAUUGCAUCCCACACAUCAUUCACAGGGAUAUGAAAUCGAGCAAUGUGCUGGUGGAUGAAAAUUUAGAAGCCAGAGUCUCCGAUUUUGGAAUGGCAAGGCUUAUGAGUGCAAUGGACACCCAUUUGAGUGUGAGCACUCUAGCAGGCACCCCUGGUUAUGUCCCUCCUGAAUACUACCAGAGCUUUAGAUGUUCCACGAAAGGUGAUGUUUAUAGUUAUGGAGUAGUAUUGCUUGAACUGCUAACGGGAAGACGUCCUGCAGAUUCAGCAGAUUUUGGCGACAAUAAUCUCGUGGGUUGGGUAAAACAACACGCUAAAUUGAAAAUAAGUGAUGUUUUUGAUCCGGAGCUCAUGAAAGAGGACGCAAGCCUUGAGAUUGAGCUUUUACAGCACUUGAAGGUAGCUUGUGCUUGUUUGGACGACAGGCCAUGGCGGCGUCCGACAAUGAUCCAAGUGAUGGCAAUGUUCAAGGAAACCCAAGCCGGGUCUGGGAUGGAUUCCCAAUCAACGAUAGCCACGGACGACGACGGAGUUUUUGGCGGAGUUGAAAUGGUAGAGAUGAGCAUGAAAGAAGUCCCGGAAAGCAAGCAGUAGGCCGGGAUAGGCAGAAGGCUGUUAUCGUCAGCUUUCUCAUAAGGAGUACGAGAAAAGAGAGGAGGAAGAGAGAGAGAUUCAUUACGCCCAGGUGACAGCAGUAAGAAAUCUCUCUUCCGGCUCCUCCGGUGGCUGUCCUUGUAUUUUGUUUGUAAUCUACAUAACGAUAAAAGGGAACUAAAGAAGCAAUCAUCCAAGAACGCAGCUUCAGAUGCCAACGAUAUCAAAGGUGUAGAACCAAUACUGUAAAGGUUUCAGAUAGCAAAACAGAAAACAGGUGUUAAUUGUUGUACUGUGUUCCUGCUAGGGUGUAUCCAUUUGCAUUUUCUAAGACAUUCAUUUUAUUCUUAAUUAUCUUUCAGUUUUGGUACAUCCAUUUGCUUUUAGGUUUAUAUACGAUGCCGCGAUCGUUAGUUGGGUUAUAUACGAUGCUGUGAACUACCUUAUUUCUUGGAAAUGAAAAAUUCGAGAAUCUGGCACAUUGCUGAUUGUAUAAAUCGCCCAAAACAACCUGACUCUAGCACUACAAACAUAUUCUCUAACAUUUCAGAUCUUCGAUUUGCCCGUCAGGGACGGGAGACGCGCGACAACCAUGUCAAGAAGAAAGUAGAGCUUGCCAAUAAACCAAUCAGGUAACUCUGAUCCCCGACUCCAGACGAAAGUACUGAAACUGGUUGAUGUUUCUUAUGGAGGAAAGGAUGGUUUCAAUCAGGCUGUUAAGUUGUCGGCGGAGUUUCUGUCCAAUGUGAAAUUUAUACAGGAGCACAACUUGCUAGGAAGACCCUUUGGAGAGGUUAACCAUGGGCGUAGAUGACACGCUAAAGGAUUUGGAGAUGGGAGCGAUUAACACACUUAUUGUGAGGGAAGAUCUUGACAGCAAAUAGGUAUGUGUUAAAAGAAUUCGUUGACCGAUGAGAUUGUUGUAAAACAUUUCGACAAGGAGCAGGGAAACAAUAAGAGCAACUUUUGAGAUCUUGCCAGCCAAGGAGAUCUAGAGGUUCAGGGGAGGAUCUCACUGCUGAAAUGGUCUGCUGACGAGCACACGCGUUUUGGUUGUGAUCUUAAGUUUGUCACCAACAAAUCACAUAAGGGUCGCAGUUCUGUCGAGGUUUAGGAGGCAUUGGAGGGUUACUGAAUGAAUUAUUCACAUCUUAUUCAAAUUAGUAACAUGCCGGUUCCAGAUACAAUAUUCACACAACAGACACAAGAGGAAUCCACAACGAACAACAACAAUUGAAUUUUUCAAUUGUUAAAAAUUUGACAAGAUAAUUAAGCACGAGCAUCCAUACACUUACAUUUGACAUGCAGAUGGAUGAACUUGAAAGCCUUCACAGAUGCUACCAGUCUUCCUUGACUAUCUUCGAUUUCUCGAGAAUGAAUUUCCCUUCCUUGUACUUCUGUGUUUGCUCAUAGGCCCCUUCAUACUUCCAACCCAGCACCUCAUGGCAGUCGCAGCAGGAGACAUCAGCGACCGUGUGAAGACCAGUCAUGAGUUGUCUGUCUUCUUUUGGCCCGACUGUAAUGUUCAUUGCAUGUGAAAACAGAAACGCUCGACCAUUUCUACCCUAUGAUUUAAUAAAAUAGAUAGUCGAAUCAUGUUUCUUGCAAUCUACUCAUCAUACUCAAAUCCUGAAGACUAUCAUUUACACACACAAUAACCAUAUGAACACAACGCAGAAAAUAGAAACUCUCAACCAAACACAAGACAACCACUCGGCUCCUGGCAUAGAUAACCGAGUACAAAUUGAAUCUUCAUUUCAUUUUCAACAUGCAAAAUCUUUAUUCCUCAUUUACUCCAAAUUCCAAAUGUAGGGAAAAGUAGACACCAAUUCAUCUCAAAACAAGAACGGAGAUUCGUUAGUUAAUUGAGAGAAAUGGGUCGAGGCCAGAGACGAGAGAGCUUCUUCCUAUCUCUGCUUUCCCAACACGAAGAUUGCUUCUCUCUCUCUGCCUCAAGAAUCAAGUUUCAAAACCAAAACAAAAGCUUUGUGAUUUUAGUUUCCAAAAAAGCUUUGUGCUUUUCUCCCAAACCGACAAGGCAUCACCAUCACAUGCCUUUUCCAUAUUAUUUUAUUUUUGUGCCUUUGCUAGUGGAACCGAAAGGCUUUGCUUUUUAUUUUAUUUUUUCAUUGUUCUUUGCAGAUGUAGCGCUGGAAAGUAGGAACAAAGGCAAAAGCUAAAGAAGAUUUCGGGACUUCGGGAAUACCGAAGAAAUGAAAUUUGAAAACCAAUCCCAUACCGAAUUUUUCGGUAUUUUUCGGUACGGGAUUACCAAAGUUCGGGAUUGUUUCAGUUUGGGUUUGGGAUUUUUUUGGUUUGGUUUGGGAAUUUCGGGAAUUUUUUCCAGCCCUACUGAAAAUGCACGAGAUAUCGAAGAUGUGAAGAUUAAACGUAUGGAUUGAAAAUGCACGAGAUAUUGAAGAUGUGAAGAUUAAACGUAUGGAUUAACAUUGAUUAAGAGUUGUACCUGACCAGUGUGCCAUGGUGACUUUAGAGAGAGAGAGAGAGAGAGAGAGAGAGAGAGAGAGAGAGAGAGAGAGAGAGAGAGAGAGAGAGAGAGAGAGAGAGUUUAAUCGUAGUAGCAGAAAAGGAGAGAUGAGUCAGUGUUUGGUACGUGAAACGGGACGGGAUGGGCUGGGAUGAGAUGUUUCGUCCAACGUUUUGGUGCACUUAAAAUAGGUGGAACGUGCUGUUCCACGGGACGAAUUUUGGGUGAAUUUUCGUUCCAUCUCACCCCCUGGAACGACUCAUUCCAUAUCUGUGAAACACAAAAUUAUAACCUCUCCGUCUCAUUCUUCUUCCUCCUUGCUUCCAUGCGAGGGCAUCUUUGUUCCUUCUUCGUUCCGUCCCAUCCUGUCCCGUUGGUCCCGUUCUAUUCCGUUCCAUCCUGUCUCGUCUGCAUACCGAAGGAUACCUAUUUGAACAAUAACAGUUAAGUCAUAUCAACAUCUUAUAUUAAUUUUAUAUAGAAAUAUAAAGAUAAAAUAGAGAAUUUGAGAGGAUGAGAGGGAAGGAGAUGGAAAGAUGAGAAUAGAGAAUCCUACCCUUGUGUCUUAUGAUACGAGGUUGUUUUAGGAAUGAUAAUGGGUGGAGAAAUAGGGUUUUAAUUUUUUAACUUUUGGUGGCGGGUGGGGUUAUAACGUGGGUGAAGAAAUAAGACAUUAGGGUGGGUCUAGUGUCACACAGAAAACACCAAACAGUGAAACCCUAAAGAAGCUACAAUCUCUGUAGCUACUGCCUCCGCGACUUAGCUCUUACUCCAUGCCACGAUCAACACAAUUUGUCGCCCCCUCGACUGCUUGCAAGUGUCCCAUUCUUGAGUAAAAGUAUUCUUCUAGGACCACCACAACAACAACAAUCACUGCCACAUGACAUAGGAAGUCCACAAGAAGAAAUAUCCCACAUGCAACAUCGCUAACAAAGGAAAACAGUAGGAAAGGCCAACAAGGGUCAACAAAGGUGAUGAUGCGAACACUCAAGCCGAAGCUCUACACAUCCUCUCUAAAUUUCGCGACAAAUUGCAAAAAACAAAAACGGUAAUCGAUCAAACUUGUAAAUGGAUGGGAAGAUGAUGGAACCCACUGAUGAAGAUGAUGGGGAGAGAUGAACUGUGGGAGAUGGAAGAAACUAGUGAUUUGGAUUUGGGGUAAAGUUAUUGAAAUCAAAGGCAAGAAGAGCAGUAAAGUGAUGACAGUUGCCACCGACCCUAGCCACGACUACGGUCAGUGGCGACAAGGAAAGACUAAAGACAUGUCAUUUCACCUAAUUAUCUACCACAUGUCUUUUUACUUAAUUCUAGUUAACUUUUACAUUAAAAGUUACUUUUACAAUUUUCAAAAAAAUUAACCAAGGUUAAAUGAAAUGACACGUGACAGAUGAUUGGGUGUAUAGUAAGCAUACACUAUAAUUUAUGUUUAUGAUCGUAAGUAAACACUCACUUAGUCAUUAGAGAAAUUUCGAUCAUUUAAUCUCAAUAAAAUAGUAGAAUUACAAGAAAUGAGUUCAUUCACAGAAUAGUGAGAAGGACUCUCACCGAAAGAGAGAGAAAGACUUUCACCGACACUAUUUAUAUAGUUUUGCAUUCAUUAUCAUGCCUACAUUUAGGACCCUUACAUAAAUUAAAGGCAGUGUCUCGUGCACAUUAUUAUUUUAUAAAUUAAAGGCGAGUGGCCAUGUAUUACAAUGAUGAAAAAGAGUUGAGUUUUUGUAUGACAGCAUAGUUUCAAACCUUUUAGAUGGCUAAUCUAACAAAUUUUAUCAUUUUGACAAAACAAAAAAAAACAAAAAAAAGAGAGAGAGAGAGAGAAUUUCGAUGCAACUCUAAAAAUAUAAGUUUAAGGCGGUCCAUCAUGCAUAUAAUAAUUUUAACUACUUAAUUGUUUAUUUCAUUAGAGCGACAAACAUUUUUUUAUGAGACCAUUUUUUUUUUUGGAAAACUUGGAAUUACAUUCCAAAGCCGAGAAGCCCAAAGGUACAUGAAAGCCUACGAAGAGGUAAACACCAAGAAAGGCACAAUGAAAACCACAGCAAUGAAAUGCGAUACAACUAGAAGACGCAUCAACCAAGUUGAGCGUCACCCCUAACAUCGCACAAUAAAUCAAUGCGCACAUGGAAGACCAUCCUUGUUCAAAACUUGUACCAACGAAGAUGGGGGCCUGUCGACCCAAACACGAUCACACAUCUCCGGAAACCAACUGACGUAAGAAAAUCUGCCGCCAGAUUGACUGAUCUUGGCACCCAAGACUAGCAACAGUUCUGGAAAGCCCCACUCAACUGUUUGACUCUUGCCAAGGUAGGGAAAGCCUCUCCUAACUACCAUUAUCAAUAGAACCAGAAAGACAAGAUAUAGAUUCAAGAGAAUCCGAUUCGAAAUUUACUACCUAAUUCACAUCCACGCAGCAACAUCAUUGCUUCUGUCGUAGCCACAUUAGGAGCCUGAAUAGAGUACCUUGCUGCAACCACAAACGGCCCCCUUGCAGCUCGCAUGACCACCCUAACAAAACGCAUUUUAGAAACCUUGGACCAACUAGCAUCAACAUUAAUUUUUGUAAAUGGAGAUGUAGGAGCCAACCACCUAGGUACUUGAAUCUGCAGCGUAGUAACCAUCGACCCACCAGUCCCUGAUAGCUCCACCGCAUCCCAAUAACAAUCUACUGCAGUUGGCAACUCUAACAACACCCUAGUGGGAUUAAUCGGUACCUGAUUGAACACAAAAUCAUAACGAGCUUUCCAAAUCAACCAAUAGGUGAAAACAACAUAUGAUUAAACCCACUUCCUAUCAAUCGUGGACCCAAGGUUGAGAGACAAAACUACCUGCAAUCAACUUACCCACGAAUGAAUACCAGCUCUAUCAACCAUGUAGUUAAGAGCACCGCCAAACCAAAUUACUUUCACCCACGGACAAAAGAGGAAUAGAUGCUCAAUAGUUUCAGCAUGACAAAGACAAAUGGGGCAAAUUGGGGAAGGGGAAGAGCGCUUGUGAAAAAGAACCGCUUUAGUUGCAAGACCAUCGUGCAACGAUAACCAAAUGAAAUGACAAAUCUUUGGAGGCCUGUGAAACCGCCAAACAACUUUCCAUAAAGCUUUCGGAACUAACCUAGCACCUAACUACCGUUGAUCCUUCAAACCAAGUAUUAUCGAUUGAAGCCAACGGUACCUCGACUUAACUGAGUACUUACCAGUCUUGCUAGUUUCCCAGACUAACCGAUCCUUACUGCUCAAAUCACCAAGUGGGUAGCCUUAAUAGCUGCUUGAUCCACUGAAGAUAUAAACGGCUGCAAAAAUCCAAUGUCUCACUCAUGGGACUCUGCCCAUAUAAGAGAAUUGACCCGCAAGUUGGGAGUAAUCGGAACCUCACCAAUCGGCAUCGAAUACUCUGCAGGUAAAGAUGGAAGCUAACAAUACAUCCAAACUCGCACAUCCAUGUCGCCUAUGAUUUGCCAAUGAAAUCCAUUUCGAAGUAACUCCUAUCCAAUUAGUAGACUUGUCCAUGCCUAAGAAGCCCGUGCCUCUUUUUUAGAAUCCCAAAAGGAACAAGUCAGGAAAUAAUAGGCCUUGAUAACGCGGGCCCAAAGAGAAUUCAGUUCAGAAAUCAAACACCAACACUGUUUGGCCAGCAAAGCAUCAUUGAACUCAUUAAAAUUCCUGAAUCACAAACCUCUCAUAUCCUUUGACAGACCAAGGACAGCCUUCGAAACCCAUUGAGUCUUCCGCACCUUUCAGAUACUCCCUCACCAAAAGCCAAAGCGUCUAACUCUUGACAGACUAUAACAGUGAAUUUAAAAAUACUCAUCAGGUAGGCAGGAAUAGCUUGGACAACCGCCUUAAUCAAGACUUAUUUCCCCACUCUUGAUAAAAUACUUUGUUUCCAUCCUUGCAAGUUGCCCAGUAUUCUCCCCUUGACAUAGGCAAGACCAUGUUUCUUCGAACGCCCCAUAUAGCAAGUACACCCAAAUAUGUUCCUGGAUUGUCAACCACAAGGAUACCAAGAACAUUAGCCAACUCGGCAGAACCCUCAAAUGAAUGUUCACCCCAAAGUAAACAUUAUACUUUUGCAAAUUCACUUUCUGUCCCAAAGAAUCACAAUAUCACGCAAGAAGGUCAACCAAAUUCCUACAAUUUUUCACAUUAGCCCUCAGAAAAAUUAAAGUGUCAUCAGCAAAAAAACAUAUGAGAAAUGAUUAGCCCCGAGACACAAUCUUCACCCCUUCAGCAUCUCCCUAUCCAUCGUACCCUGAAUCAAUCGACAAAGAACCUCCCCAACCAAAAUAAAUAAAUACGGAGAUAGAGGAUAUUCCUACCUGAGACCCCUAGAGGGAGCAAACUGUUUACCAGGUUGUCCAUUAAGGAUGACAGCAAACUACAUCGAAGACACACAUCCCAUAAUUAAUUGCCUCCACAUGCUACUAAAACUCAUCAUCUCUAUGAGUGCAUUAAGAAAAUCCUACUCCACCCGAUCAUAAGCUUUUUGCAUAUCAAGCUUUAUGCCCAACUCAUACUUAUUUUUCACUUUUUGCCCUUUCAGGAAGUGAAAAAUCUCAUGGGGUAUCCCAAUAUUAUCAUGAAUCUAUUGACCUGCCACAAAUGCAUUCUGAAAGGGAGAGAUAAGUUGCGGCAACACACCUUUCAAUCUAUUGGCAAGAACUUUUGACAGAACCCUAUAUGAAUAAUUACAAAGACUAAUAGGCAUAAAUUGCGAUACUAUUAACGGGUUGUGAACCUUAGGUAUUAGAACAAUAUGGGUAGCAUUGAGUGUCCCAGGGCUAGCCGUGCCAUACAUCAAUGUUCUAACCAGAGUGUUAACAUCCUCCCUAAGAUGCUCCCAAAAAGACUGGUAAAAAAUCCCUUGAAAACCAUCCAGGCCAGGAGCUUUAAGACCCCCCAUUUUCAUCGCCGCCUCCAUUAUUUCCUCAUCGGACACCGGCUCAAGCAAAGCCAUAUUCAUUUCCCCUUUAACACCCGAGUUGAUACAAUCCAAAAUCGCUCCCCAGUUUCUCGCCCCCAUUCGGACCUGAACAAAAUGUUCCUCCACUAACUCACGAACCCGGCUUGGUUGCUCUACCCAAUACCCAUCCACAUCCUUAAUUUUGAUGACCUUGUUCCUCCGACGGUGUUGUAAUGUUGAUUGGUGGAAGAACUUAGUAUUCGCAUCCCUUUCACGUAACCAUCUAACUCGAGAUCGUUGAUGCCAAAAGCUUUCCUCCUAAUAUUGGACAAUAUUAUAUGGGAUAUUACAAAUACAUGCAAGUUGCAACACCGGCAAUAAUGUCAAUUUUGGCAAUUGCAUUAUGAUGUUAGGGAGACUAAAAUUUUAAACUAAAUUUACAUAUCAAAUGAUGUAUAACUAAUAAGAUACAAGUACAUUAAUCAACACUUAAUUAAUAAUUCAAUCAUCAACAACUAUAUCAUUUUAUUUUAAAAUUUUGAUUUCAGUAACAUUACCCAUCGAAAACAGCUACAACUUUUUAAACUUAAAAAUACUUUUUCAAGUCUUAAACUUAAAAACACAAUACAUGAGUUCUUGGCCGGAAGUUUGUCUGUAUUUGUCUACCCGAUUCUUUUUGUGCCUUGUACUAGUUUUCAAUGUAAUGAAAAUGAUCUUCGUGAUUAAAAAAAAAAAAUAAUAAUAAUAAAAGAUUACUUAAACAUUCAAUGUAUCUCCAUGGCUGCAAAGGCGGUUAUACGACUACUAGGGUUUUUAAGGCUUUUUAGCUUAAAUGGUCCUUGAGAUUUUGCAUAACUUUUCACUUGGGUUCCUGAGAUUUCAAAUCAAUAGAAAUGGUCCCUGAGAUUGUCCACCAUCCAUCAUUUUGGUCAUUCCGUUAAAAACUCUUUUAAGUGUCCCGGAGCUCUUGGCCGGAAGUUUGGGCAAUUUUCAAAGCUUCGUAACUUAAUCGUUUCUUAACCAAAUUCGACCCAUAAUAUAUCAAAAUGAAGAUAGAAAAGUGUAAAAUAAGAUUAUACCUAUUUGGAAGCCCAAUUGUUGCCGGAGAUUAUCGGAAAAUAGUCUCAAAGUUGACUGGUCCAAGGGAAAACUGGAGAAUUUGCCGAAAACUGGGUAAACUUUAAACAUUCAUAACUUCUUCAAUACUAAAAAAAAUCAAGUGAUUCAUAAACGAAAAUCAUACUUCUCGACGAGACGAAGAAAAUUGUACCUUUUUCAGCGCUAACUCGCAAUGGUUUAGCUGGAAAACUGCUCAAAAGUGGCCAUCUUGGGCUCGAAAUCGGCUCUAAAUUUAUUUCGAGACAAAUUUACACUUAUGAUUACGUAAAAUGAAAAAUAAAUAAACUUUUAUAAAGGAAUAGAAAAAUUAAAACAAUAAUAAAAAAUAAAAAAAAUUUCCUAGCAGCCAACUAUCUCCUGCAUGGCUUCCUGCAAGCCAUUCCUUUUAUUUCACACCUACAGCCUUGUCUUUAACUGGGCCUCUCUAUCCUUAUCUCUAUUUCUCUCCCUAGAGUAGUCGCAGAAGCGUAGAGAUCUUGAUGGUGGUUCGAAUGAGGCUAGUGAAGCCGUGGUGGCUGGGUUUGGAGCUGGAGAAACUCGAUAAAUUUCAAGGUGUGUUAGUGUAAUUAAUCCGAUAUUUUUUAUACAAUAACAUGAUCACACUAAGGGAAUGAAAAAAUAAAUUAGUUGCACCAUCAUCAUUUUUGAGAUUCAAACUUAAAACUUUUCUAUCACAAAUAAAAAAAAUAUCAUAUAAUUAAUCUGUAGAGUAACAUUUCAUCGGAGUUAAUUUGCUAGGUAAAGAAUGUGUGAGAUUUAUUCAAAGAAAAAAAAAGAGUACCAAACUUUUAUAAUUUAUAAAGUCAGCGACAAGAACAAAGAGAUUGAGACAUAUGAUUGGCGACAAAGACAAAUAUUAGAAAAUAGAAACCAGUUGUCAGCUGAAUGAGUCAGACUCUUAAACAAGUCAACCCCUUAACAUUUCCGCCUAACCCGAAAACUGUAGCUUCUUGUGGAUGAGGAAAGCUUCGUGGAAGCUAGGCACAGGAGGAGCAUCCAUAUACGCUUCAUGGUCCGCCACCAACUGCCACCGGAUUCGAGCAAAACUGGUCUGAAUCCGAUUGAUCAGUAAUUUAGAUCGAAUCGAAUACAAAUUUUCUGUUUUUUGCGUAUAGGAGUUUUCGGAAGCUCGUAUAUCAUGGCAGUGGCUUUGGUUGGAGGUGCUGCGAUAGGAGCACUGUUUGGAGUACUGUACGAUGUCGUAAAGGAAUCGAUGGGAAGGACUGUUAUGCGGUACAAACCCCUCCUUGAAGAUCUCAAGUUCACACUAGACUGUUUACGACCCCGGAUCAUCCAAGAGAUAGGAGAUCAUAACGUGGCACUGGGUCUCCCAAACGAUGACAUAGAACGUCUCCAACAACAAAUGGAGGAGGGUAUAAAGCUCCUUGACAGGUUAUCGAAGCUUAGCAUGUGGAACUGCUACAUCUUAUGCAGUUGCUGCAAAUGCUCGAAGCCGAGCUACACCGAUCGACUUAUUCAAUUGGAUAGGUCUCUUAGAGCACUGUUAGAAGUGCUGAGGUUGCAGGAAGCCAGGGACAUGAAGGAGAACUUGCUUUUGAAUAGGAAGAUUUAUGAAAAACAAGAUGAAUUGGCAACAAGGCAGUCGGAAAUACUGAAAAUAGCAGGGGAGAUACUGAGAGCGCAGCAGGAAGCAAGGGGUGUACAAGAGCUCUCAGGGAGUAGUACACAAACAUUGGUGGUGCAAGAGAAAAUUGGAGGCAGUGGUGUGCAGCAAGCGGCGUCAAUAAACGGAGGAGGGGCUGCUCUAGCAGCAGUGUUUGAGAUACUAUUUAGUGCCGUUCUACAAACGAAGGAGAAGACGAGGAUGUUUAAACGCAUCCUGGGACAUCUCAAGUCCACGCUUGACUCCAUAAAGCCAUUGAUAGAAGAGAUUGCAGAAUGUAACAAGGUAUUCCAUCUUACAGAGGAAGAACUAGAAAGUUUGAGAGUAGAGAUGGAGAAGGGUGUAGAGCUCGUUCGCAAGUGCUCCAAGGUUAGUCUUUGGGCAAGCAACAAAAAGUAUGAAUAUACCAACAAACUUCUUGGAUUAGAUGAAUCUCUUCAAAGAUUGAUAAAUAUACUGAGAGUGCAACUAGCAAGGGAUGCAAGAGAAAGCUUGGUUUCGGUAACUAAUAUAGAGACGGUGACCAAGCAAGUUGAAGAGAGUGGUAUGAUACAAUAUGAUCAAACAGAAAGUCGGCGUCCACUAGUUGAACUUCCAUCGACUACCGUUGGUUUGGAUGUAUUGAGUGUGCAGGGAGCAGGGAAGAUGACAAAAGCAAGGGAAUUAGAGGAGGGGGCAAAGAAAAUUGAAGGGAGUGGUGUUGUCCAAAAUCAAACCGAAAUUCAUGGUUCUUCAAACACAGUUUCAAUGGUAUGUCUAAAUUCUCUUCAUUCUUUAUUCUUUUAAGUUAAUCAUGCAUUUGGAAGCCUAGUUUUGAACACUAUACAGAUGCCGGAUUGUUCAUGAACAGGAAGAGUCUGAAACCGAAUUUGAGCCACAACAAGUCUUCUCCUCGGAAUUUGGCACAAUCCACGAGAAUACGCAGGGUAGCAGACCUGAUACUUCUCCAAGGUUCUCCAAUUGGUUCAGUAGGAAAGCCAAAAAAAGAGGAAAAAGUGGGAGCGAAAAUGAGCAGAAACAUGUGAAAGGUAGUGAAAAUCCGACGAGUUGUUAUUGCAAGUGCACAUAUUCGUUUUUUGAUAUCAAUACUAGACGAACCAAAAUUUUUCCUGAAAUUUUAUCCACCAAAUGAUGUGGCAAGUCAAGAGAAAGUAUCGUAGGGACCAUUUGAUACCUCUUUCAGUUUCUAGUUUUGGAUUUUAUUGUGGUAUAUAUAUUGUUGGUCUAUUAUUGGUCGUUGACAAAGUCAUGUACCUAUAAUAAGAUACUCUUUAUUAACAUGGCAUCAGAAAUUUAUGAAUAAUUUUUUCCUGGCAACAGAAAUCUCUGCCAUUUAUGAUGUUAACAUAUACGCCUACAAAGAGUUGAGAAACGCAACCGAAAAUUUUGGUCCAGCCAAUAAAAUCGGGGAAGGCGGUUUUGGUUCUGUCUACAAGGUAAGUUCACAUUUACUUUUUUAAUGUAUGUGUUCGUAAACCAUUGCUUCUGCAAUUGGUAAUUAAUAAUCUACAAGGUUAGUGACACCUAUUUCAAUUGCUUCCGUGAAUAAUCAUCAGGGACGCCUUAAAGAUGGAACUAUGGCUGCUGUAAAAGUUCUUUCAGCUGGAUGGACUGUAGGGCCGAGGGAGUUUUUGAAUGAGAUUCAAGUGGUCUCAAAAAUAAUGCAUAAAAAUAUAGUGAGGCUGUAUGGCUGUUGUUGUGAAGGAAACCGAACAAUUUUGGUCUAUGAAUACCUCGAGAAUAAAAGUCUUGCACAAACUCUUUUUGGUAAGUACAUACCUUCCUUCUCGAGCUGAAAUUCCUUUCUGGUCUUUACAAGAGAGUGAGUGAUUACGUAAAUGUGUUAUUUCCAUUUGAACUGAGUCAAUCCUUUUCUGAGCUUAAUUUGUUCAUUCCUAAGAAUCGUCUUUAAAUGAGCUGUUUUUAUUUCAGGUGAAGGUAAGAACCAUGUUCAGUUUAGUUGGCAAACGCGGCGUGAAAUAUGCAUCGGGGUUGCAAAUGGGCUUGCCUUCCUUCAUGAGUAUUUAAGAACACAUGUCAUCCAUGGAGACAUCAAAGCAAGCAAUAUUCUCCUCGAUAAAUACCUAGAGCCUAAAAUUUCAGAUUUUGGUCUUGCGAAACUUAAUGCAGCCAGCAAGACGCAUGCUAGCACCCAUGUUGCAGGGGCAAUGUAAGUUGUGAUGUCUCUCUUUCUUUUUAGGGUCUUUAAAAUUCAACAGUUCUCUCUUUGUUGAUCUAUCUUAAUCCAAAUAUUUACUGCCUUGCAAUUACAUCUAUGUUUCUGGUAUUAGAGGUUAUAUUGCACCGGAGUAUGCAAUACGGGGGCAGUUGACAAGGAAAGCAGAUGUUUAUAGCUUUGGGGUGCUCCUUCUGGAAAUAGUCAGUGGCAGAUGUAAUACUAAUACACAACUUGACGGGCAGUACCUGCUUGAAAGGGUAUGUAUUUCAGGUUGUGUCAUAUGUGAUUUUGGUAGAUGCAAUUGUUUCUUACUCCCUGUUUCUUUUGUUUCUUGAUCAUUAAGUAAACUAUCGAGUCAAGGAGCAAAAUCACUCUGCCUGAUAGUAUAUUGGAUCGUCUGUUUAUAAAUAAUUAUGCACAGCAGAUACCGAAUCUAUUACCUUAGGCAUUGUUGUUUAUGAUAAGUGCAUAUUCUUGUAUUGCAGACAUGGCAACUCUAUGAACAGAGGGCACUUGUUGGGCUGGUAGACACAUCAAUGAGCGAUGACUGUGACACCGAGGAGGCUUGUAGAUUCUUACAGAUUGGUCUCAUCUGCACCCAAGACAGUCCGAAACUCAGGCCACACAUGACAACUGUGAUUAAGAUGCUGACAGGAGAGGUGGAUGUCAACGACUGCAAGAUAUCAAAGCCAAGCUUAAUAUCGGAUUUCAUGAAUCUUGAAGUACGAGAUCCUGCCAGUAGUGUUAGCAUACAGUCCUCAGCUCCCAUGUCAUCACUCCAAAGUUCAAGCAAGACAAGUCAUUAGGCAGCUCAAGGAGCUGAAAUGGAUAAGCGGUUAACUGCAACUCUUGUAGCAAAUCUGGUGAUUAGUUAAAAUUAGUCAGACAACUAUGGUUAAUCACAUUAUUUGAACUGUAUGUAUAAGGACAAGUGUAACUGAUCAUCUAUGUAAUUGAAUUGAAUAAAUAAAAACUAAUUAGCUGCAAAAUAAGAUUGUGUACAUGAAAAAUAUGUUAUGAAAGGAGACACUCACCACUUCUUGGACGCUUCUUCCACUAGCUAUGUCAACCACGACUCUCUCCAAGCUUCCCUUCCAUAAAGUACACGCUUUGUUGAUAUACUUCCACGGAGGGCGCAGCAGGAAGAUAAGGGUGUGCAAGAGCUUUCACAAAGUAAUGCACAAACAGUGGUGCAGAAGCAAAUUGGAGGCAGUGGUGUGCAGCAAGCGGCAUCGAUAAACAGAGGAGGAGCUGCUCUAGGAGCAGUGUUUGAGGUACUAUUUAGUGCCGUUCUAAAAACGAAGGAGAAGACGAGAAUGUUUAAACGCAUCCUGGGACAUCUCGAGUCCACGCUAGACUCCAUAAAGCCAUUGAUAGAAGAGAUUGCAGAAUAUAACAAGGUAUUGCAUCUUACAGAGGAAGAACUAGAAAGUUUGAGAGUAGAGAUGGAGAAGGGUGUAGAGCUCGUUCGCAAGUGCUCAAAGGUUAGUCUUUGGGCAAGCAACAAAAAGUAUGAAUAUACCAACAAACUUCUUGGAUUAGAUGAAUCUCUUCAAACAUUGAUAAAUAUACUGAGAGUGCAACUGGCAAGGGAUGCGAGAGAAAGCUUGGUUUCGGUAACUAAUAUAGAGACGGUGACCGUGAAAAUUGAAGAGUGGUAUCAUACAACAUGAUCAAACAGAAAGUCGGCGUACAUUAGUUGAACUUCCAUCGGGGGACAGAGAGUCUUUGGGAAGUGGUGUUGAGACAACACCGCAUGAAAAAAAUGGAGAGAAUGGUGGACAACAAAUGGUGCCGUCAGGUGGAGGAGUAGGGGCUGCUGCUCUAGGAGCGGCGUUAGCAAGGGAUGCGAGGGAGAGCUUGGAUUCCGUAAGCAAUAUAGGCGGUGAUCAAUCAAAUUGAAGGGAGUGGUGUGGUAAAAUUACAAAAUGAGCAAAAUGAAGCUAAAGGUUCAUGUGAAGUGCCCGCAGCCAUGGCUAAGAGUGCAGUUGGAUUGAAUGCACUACGUGUGGAGGGAACAAGGGACAUGACUGAGACAUUGGAUCCGGAAGCGAAUAUAAUGGUAGGGUGGCAGAAAGUUGAAGAGAGUUGGGUGGCACAAAGUAAAACUGAACAUCCAUCACGUACAGUUGGACUGGAUGCAAUGAACAUGCAGGUGGGAGCAAGGAGUAUGGAGGAGACCUCUGUAAGUGAUAUAGAGGUGGGGCUAAAG
rnacentral:lncRNA from 1 species